rnacentral:lncRNA from 1 species
GGGCCAGAGGGGGUCUCCUUAUAUAGUCCUCCCCUUCUAUGCGUUUUUGGGUCGAUAGGCGAGGUGGUACUAUGUUAUUCUGGAUCCAAUAGGUCGGUGGAACGUCGUGUGCGAAGAGAGUCCGGAACGGAGUCCAGAGGGGGGCGGGCGCCCAGGUCCUCAGGGCGGGCGCCCUGGGCCUGGCCCCUUUCGGGCUCCGCUUCCUUCCCGUGGCUUCUGGAGUCUUCUAGAUGGUAGAAAAUUGCACGGUGGGUUGAUAUCUCUAUGUAAUCCCGACAUGUGGGCUUUUCUUCCUUAUUUCCUGAUAACCCCCUGCAGAAAUAGACAAACACCAAAAAUCGUGGAAUUCUGUCAGAUAAAACCCUAAGUCUAGAUGUUGAUUUCAUUUGGAUCCUUUUCUUUGUUUAUUUGAUAAUUAAAUUUGAUACUUAAGGACCGUCAACAAACUCCCCCAAGCUUACCUCUUGCUCGUCCCUGAGCAAGGAUGAACUCAAGAGUUUCUGCAGUGGUUUCAUUUCUUAGAAGUACACACGCAUUUAAGCAAGAUCUCAUCUCUGAGUUAGAAUAAACUGUUAAGACUUAAAACUUACUUACUUUACCUACACCAUAGGACUUGUAACCGUCACUUCUGUCUUGAGUGGUUAAAAGAUAGAACAGUCUAGCCAAGUGCCAUGUCUCUUAUUCUUGAUCAGCUAUAGCUCUGGGGUUUUUGCAGACUUUCAAAUAAAACUCAGAAAUUCCUUGUAUGAUUCUCUCAGGUCUCUCUUUUGUGGUAUUUUUGGAUCCUUACCAAGGCAGUGAUGGUAUAUGCCUUCUCUCAAGAUAUGUAGUAUUUGUGGUAUGAAGCAUAGUGACAUUGUCUUCUCUCUCACCCUACUCUAAUAAGGCUUUAAUAUCUGGAGCUCAUAGGUGGGAGAUAAAGUAUACAUACUUACAAGACAUUUAUUACAUAGUCAAACCAUGGAUCCAAAGAAACAAAUCAAUAAGCCAAAUCAAGAUGUGCAUGUGUGGCGAAUGAAUGGUGUAUGGUGAUGAUGGUGAUAACAAUUGUGGUGGAAGUCUAAUUCUACUUUGCUCUUUGAGGGGAUACGUACCUUCCUUGCUUUUGAAACUUUAUGAGGAGAAUGAGAUGCUCUUCUUUUUCUUUUCUUUCGAGGUUCCGAGCACUUGCUCCUUUUUAUUUCCUCGUAUCUUUUAUUUUCUUUUUCUCUCUUUUUUUUCAGAGCAUUCAUCUCUUGAGAUAAUAUAGCAAGUGGUAGUAACAUGAUAACUUGAGCAUUUAUUUCACAAGGGGAAACAGAAAUAUUUUUGGUUAUUCUCUCCCGGAUUAGGAGUAGAAUACUUUUGGGUGGUUUUGGAGAUGGAAAUGAGUGGAUAUAUGUGGAUGGUACUUCCGGAGUAGAAGUAGCAUGUAUGAGUGAACGUGCAAGUGAAUCUUGAAUUAACCACAUGACAAGCUCCUAAGGGUCUACACAGCUUGACCACACUCAAUGCUCAUAAGCAGUAAAAAGUAAAUGUGUGGCUCAAAGUCUAGCAAGCAUGUAUAUAUGGCUGUGGUAGGAAUUUAAACUCUCAUCAUACAGGAACUCAUCAUGUGUUAUUUUAAAGAUUUUUCAAAGAUAAAAUUCUCCAGAAUUCUAUCAUCUCUAGGAACAGAUGAACAGCAGCUCAACCUUCCCAUAUCGUAUCCGUUAACAACUUAGACUUCAGAUCAAGUUUUCAUCCCACAAGUUUAGGUCUAGAGCAAGCCUUAAAUUAUAACAGUUAUAUCUAAACUUGAGAGAGAACUUCAAAUUUGCAAAUUAGGCAGAGCAACUAUUCAUCAUAUCCAUGCUUAAGUUUUAUUAGAUACAGAUUAGCAUAGCCACUUUAUUUAUUUAUUAAACACACUAAGCAAAAUAUAUAUAAGCAUAAAAUCUUUAUUUGGUUUUUCAUAGUUAUGUGUAUUUAUAUUCUAAUAUAGUAUAAGUAUAAAGAUAGAUAGAAAUACUUAUCGAGAUAAAUGGGGGUGCUCUCCCCCAAGCUAAAUUUUGACGUAAUUUCUCUUGAUGUAGUUAGCAGGUGGCAGAGGUGUACUUGAAAGUCAACAGCAUUCUGACAGCGAUUAAAAUGUCCUCCGUCUGCUAGUCUUCUUGAUUCUUAAAUCCUGUGGAGCUCAAAUAGACAACAAAGCUUUGUGGAACUGAUUAAGUGUUAGCAUAAAUAUCUAGCCUUUAUCAUGUUGAGCCUCCUCAAUAAAUGUUAUUUAUUUAGCAGGAUCAUGCACUUAUUAUUUUUAUAUUUUUUUAUUGUAAAAUGAAAACUUAUUUAUUUUAUUUUUAUGCCACCACAGUGAAUGUACUUAUGGGUUUUAUGCCAUGAGCAUACUCACAUGGGGCUUACUAUUUUUUUAACAUUUUUUUAUUUUCUUUUCAAGAUAACAUGAACCUGAUUAACUAAGCAAACUAUAAUUGAAUAAUUGAAAGGAAAAGGAUAACUACCAAGUUUACCUCUUGGCAAGGCGUUCGGUGUUUUUAAGUCCUUCGAACGGGACUCCUUGUGUUUUCAGUCGUCCUGGGAUUUGCUAGGUGGCGUAGUCGGUGAUUCCGGCGGCGCCUCCUCUUCGUGUGUAACUAUAUUCUCUCUCCACACCUGACUCGGUGCUAUGGUCUCCUCAGGACAGUUAUGUUCAAGUGGUAUGUCUUCAGUCCUUAUCACUUCUCCUUCGUAGUCUACCCAUCCGUCAUUGAUGAUUUGCCUCCUCUGGUUGCGGUUGCGAUGUCUUCUUCUUGUCCUGACCUGCUUAGAGUCUUCAACUAUAUAGUUAGGGUCAGUAAAACAGCGGCAUACCUUCUUAGAGGAGAAGUGUAUGUGGACUUCUCCGGUUCCAAUAUAGAUGAUGGCUUUGAUAGUGCUGAGGAACUGUCUUCCAAGGAUGGUGGGUGGAUCAUAUUCAUCUUCUCCCAUGUCAAUAACUUGAAAAUCAUCUAUAGCUGAAUGUAUAUUGGUUGUAGGGGCAUGGUUUCAUGCAGGAGCUGAUAAGUGACUACGGCCAUUAUGUUGUCGUUUGAUCCGAUGUCGUAGAGUGUCUUCUGAAAAGAGUAUCUAUUGAUUGUGCACUUGAUUCUUGGAACACCAGGGUCGUCCUUCUUGAUCAAGAAAGGUGACUUGAGUCGACGAUCUUGACCUCCUUGAGCUGUAGUGACCAUCUUAGCUGACUCGGUCCACAUUUGCUUGUUCCUGUUCCUCCUAUUGGUCCUCUUCCUUGGUUCAUGUCAGGAUUGCUCUGAAGUUUGUGUAGUAUUAUUCUUGAAGGAAAGUCUCCUUCUUCCCCUUGAUGUAGAGACUGAUCUUGGCAACAUUAGCGUAGAUUAUAGCUCUAGUGUUUAGGAAUGGCCUCCCUAAUAUGAUGGGUGCCCUCUCCUCAGUACCAGUCUCUAUCACCACGAAGUCUGCUAGAGCGUACAAGGUACCAACUUGGACGUAGAGGUUCUUCAAUAUUUCCUUUGGGAAACUGAGUGUCCGAUCUGCAACCCGGGGCAUAAUGUUGACGCUGGAGCCAAAGUCGCAGAGUGUUUCUGGGAAGUCCACCAUGCCGAUGGAGAUCGGGAUGACGGGACGUCCUAGAUCACCUCUCUGAGUAAUUAGGCCUCUGUUGAUUCCAACCUUGAUGUUGUUGAGGACGGUUGUAGUAAUAGUUGUUAUUGUUGUUGAUGUAGUUCACGUCCUCAAGCAUCUUAGGGCAGUGAUUGCCUGAGCGUCCAGUAUCUCCAGUGUGUUUGUGCUCGUAGAUCCUAGUUCUUCACUUGGUGGAAUCUGGGAGUUGUAAAACUCCUUCAUAUUAUGCUCGAAGUGUUCCUGCUCAUAGAGACAAGGUAGAGAUCAAGUGCAUGGGCCCUGUUGGUGGAAAACACCAACAGAACCAAAAGUGUAUUUGUUCUUCUCUAACCCUAAGCAUAGUGAGCAAGACAAAGUUGAUGGAUCAUGAGUGUAGCAUUUGUCGAUCAGAUGGCUCAACCUAAUGGAAAGAUAAUCUAUCUAUAUUUAUGUUUUGUUUAUAUCUUCCAAAGAUUGAAUGUGCAAUACUUUAGCUUAUAUGAUUAGGAGUGUGGGAUCACGAAGGUAGUACUAAGAACAAAGAUUAAAGGACUAAUCAUGUUGAAUUAAUUGGGUUGGUUAAUUUGGAGUUAUAAAUCAUACAUGUUUGUCUCUUUAUUUAUGUGAAUGCUAGAACCAAGGAGAAGCUUAUAAAAGUGUUAGUCAAGUACCUUAAUAUGUUACCUUACUUGAAGAGUGAUGGUAGAAUAUCACCUUGUGGAAGCUUUCCUUUCUUAGCGGUUGUGCAUCGUGUUUGUGGCACCCUCCAUGAAUCAUCUCUGAUGAGCUACGUCUUUCUUGUGCAAAUUGUUAAACUUCAUGUGUCACUUUCUUCAUCUCUAAUGAGUUUGCAUCUCAGGACUUCCCAGGUUGUUAUUGAAAGUUUUCCUACAGGGGUUAGUCCAACAAAAUAUACCAAUAUCUACUCAAGCAGUUUUUAGUUCAGUAACCAAACUAGACUCUAUGUCUAAUCAGAUUAAGGAAGGCUAUUUAACCUAAGCACCACGCUUAAUUUAAAUGCCAUUGGAAGUGUGACCAGUACUUCCAAACUAACACUUACUAGGAUAAACAAAGGUAGCAUGAUGGCUUUUAUAGAGAUCUACUCAAGUGGAGAUGAAGUAGUGUGAUUAGUAUUUAACAAAUUGAGCAUGUCUCAAAGGUAAGGACAACCAACAUAGCAACAUGGCAAAGGAUGUUUUAUGUAAAGUACUCCCCCAAGCUUGAAUUUUGCAAAAUUCAAGAUUGGAUGAAUUUAAUUUAAUGUUGCAUGAUGAUUGGUUGGGCAUACCUUGCGCUUGUCAUUCAUCCGAUCUUCUUGCUCCAAUCCUAGAAAGGUUAGUGGCAAGAAUACCCGAAGGAAUAUUUCUACAAUUAUCUUUAUAUGCUCAAUACACAAGGCAAUGUUGCAAAUAAUUAGAAGUGCUUGUUUUAGGACACUAAGCUUGUCCUUAGGGAACCAUCAAUUAACUCAACGAGAUCUGCAAUAUUUAUUAUAGACAUAUGCAUCGACAACCGCCGUUUUAAAGUUUUUAUAAAUAGAAAAGAAGAGGGGGUUGGAGAUCUCAAAUGUGGUAAGGAUGGAGAGACAAAUUGAUUGGAGAGAUGUUUUAUAUGAGCAAGGACUGGGUGAGGUAUUUAUGAAAUAACUUCCAUGCUCACUGUUGUUUCUCUCAUUCCCAAACUCCAAGGAUGAUUCUUCAUGAAUGUUUAAAAUUCCUCUAGGAUUGUCUCUCAAGUUUGUUUUAUCUAUCCAUUCAAUGGUGAUAGCACAUGGAUUUUUAAUGCCCUCUAGCCAUUGAUGUUGCUCUUCUUGAUCCUCCUUCUUAUGCAUGGGAUGUCUAGAUAGAUUCAUAGGAUUAUCGGGAGGUUCAAGAGAGUAGAAAUUAUUAAGCUCAAGGAUGGGAUGGAUAGUCGAAUCAUGGGAUUGGAAUGUUUGGAAAUCGGCUAUUGAAACUUCCUUUCCUCGUCUAGGAGAUGAUUCCUUCUCUAUCUCUAGGAUUUUUCUAUGAAGACUAGUACAAGAAGGAUGUCCACAAAUGAAGACAUACCUUCCUUUACUAAUAGAUAAAGAAAGAAAGACUCUACCAAAUGUUAUAUGAUUAAGACCAAUGUGAAAAUAUCUAGGAAAAACAUGGUCUUGUAGGGCUAGGUCUAAACCAGAAUUUAUAGAAAGAUUAACAGAUUCCCUAGGUGUAGCUAAAAGUGCAUUAUCUUCUUGAUUAAAAGAUAGGACCUCAGCUAUAGAAAAGGGUUGGUUUUGACCUAUUGCAAUCAACUCCGGACACAGAUCAUAAUUAGGGGCAGGACGUGUUGACUCCCAUGGUCUAUGGCUGGUCUCCGAAGGUGCAAAGAAUUUAAUAAUAGGUAUGGAAUUUGAGUUAUCCAUAAAGAUAAAAAUAAAAAGAUAAAAGAAUAAAAGUAUAAUACAAGAUAAUAGCAAGACUCAAAGUUAUCUCAGCAAACCGUCUUUCUCCCCGGCAAGGGCGCCAGAAAUGCUUGUUGAUAUUUGGUAACACAAUAAGGAAAUGAUCCGCAAGCGCACGGAUAUCGGUGAGCAUUUCACCUGGGAGGUUAUACAGAGUUAUCGUAUUUAUAUUUUUACCACUGGGAGAAAGGGUGCAUCUGACUAACCAAAUCUAUUGCUACUAUCCCUUUAGGCUACAAAGAAUGUCUCUCGAUGUGAGUGAUGUAUAGAGAAGACUGCAACCGUAGUCUCGUUCUAACCUUGGUAAGGAUGAUCUACUGUUCUUUUGGGGAGGCUCACGGAAUCUAGACAACACAAAGGAUGUUCGACCCGCACCUAUAACCCUACCCGUCCUGCUAACGAGAUGUGAUCUGCAAAGGUAACUCGGAAUUGUCACGUUCCUCGCUACUACCACGGUCCAGCUAGUCAGGGGAUAUCUAUGAGUACCCUAGCCUAAACACCACGUUUACGCUAACAAGUGAUUACUCUAAUACUCAAUCGGAAGAGGAUUAAAGUAAACUCAUAAACCAAAGAACAAUAAAACAAGAACUUACUAGUAUUAGAAGUCGAAUUACUGAAGAAUCUUAGAAGCAAGCCUCGGGUUAGGAGACUUGAUCCCGCAGGUACAACUCGGAGUAGACACCGACAGGCCGGCCUUCGUCCGAUCUACACCUCCACUCUAUCUCUCUCAAUCUAGUAGAAACUAGAAGAUCUAUUUCUACUUUACAUUGGUUGCUAAGCCUAAAAAGAAAUAUUAUUUAGAGAAGAGGUUUUCCUUCGAGGGCACCCCUCAAUCUCUAUGAUAAUUUCUUGUCUCCUCCAGGGGCCAGAGGGGGUCUCCUUAUAUAGUCCUCCCCUUCUAUGCGUUUUGGGUCGAUAGGCGAGGUGGUACUAUGUUAUUCUGGAUCCAAUAGGUCGGUGGAACGUCGUGUGCGAAGAGAGUCCGGAACGGAGUCCAGAGGGGGGCGGGCGCCGAGGUCCUCAGGGCGGGCGCCGUGGGCCUGGCCCCUUUCGGGCUCCGCUUCCUUCCCGUGGCUUCUGGAGUCUUCUAGAUGGUAGAAAAUUGCACGGUGGGUUGAUAUCUCUAUGUAAUCCCGACAUGUGGGCCUUUCUUCCUUAUUUCCUGAUAACCCCCUGCAGAAAUAGACAAACACCGAAACUCGUGGAAUUCUGUCAGAUAAAACCCUAAGUCUAGAUGUUGAUUUCAUUUGGAUCCUUUUCUUUGUUUAUUUGAUAAUUAAAUUUGAUACUUAAGGACCGUCAACACCCACGUAGUAUUCUUCUCCUUUGUAGCGUAGAACCACUGCUUCGCUCUCCCUAACAGUGAGAAUGGGAAAAGGCGAAGUAGUAUAGCAUCUCUGGGGACUCCUGAUAUGGUGAAUGUGCUGCAAAUCUCUAGGAAGUGUUGGAGAUGAGCACUAGCAUCUUCGUGUGCCUUCCCACAGAACUAGUUGGAUUGCACCAUGUUGAUCAGUCCAGGCUUGAGCUCAAAGUUGCCAUCGAUCUCUGCAGCAGGUCCAGUGCGGAUGUUGUCCGUAGUGGGAGCUGAGAACUCGCGGAUUGAUUUGUUCGCCAUGGCUUCAAAUUCUGAAGACAAGUUCCGGUGAUCUUCUUGAUUGAAAGAAGCUUCUUGCUGAAGUGUUGAUAAUCUCUUCUUGAGCUUGGCUCUUGUUUUUCUAAAUAGUGCUUCGGGAUUGUCAACAAAAUUUCCUGGAAGAUGUCUUCUAUUCAUACAUUACCCUACAUAAGAUGAAAUAGAAAAAUAUCGGGGUAAAACUGUAUGAGAGAAUUGAUAAGCUCAAUCAUAUUAGUGAUGCGAAUAAUAACUCAAAAUCCUGUAUUCAUUCCUGAUUAGUAAUCAACCUCCCCGGCAACAGCGCCAAAAAUGCUUGUUGGGUAUUCUUAACAUCAUUACCAAAAGUAGACUUAGUUUUCUAAUUCUGAUAACAGUGCCAAAAAUGCCAAACCUAUCCCUCAUACCACUUAAGCCAAGUUGUCAUCCCCAGCAUGACAUAAGAGACGCGGUAUUGAAAUAUGCAAUUGCUCUUCUAAAUAAAUAAUGAAUGGGAUCUGCAAGCGCACAGAUUAAUACCGAUGUAGCAUUUUAACCGUGAAGUAUUCCAGGUAUCGUUAUUUAUAAUUUUACCACUGGGAAGGGAUUAGCAACCAUCAAUGUUGAUUAUAGAUUGAAAUAUGAGAUUGAGUAUCUAUCAUUGCAUGUAUAAUUGAUAACAUUUAUCUAACUCUUUCAUACAGGGUUAAGUGUCACAUAAAAGAUAUAUGAAGUAAUGAAUAGUGACAAAGAUAAUUAAUCUGAUCAGCAUAACUUAGCCACAUAAUAAAUAUGAUAAGCUCCUCAAUUAGAUACUCUAGCAAGUCAUUAGCAUGGUAUUAGGACGAACUACAAGAAUAUUUCCUAAGUUAUUGUCAACUAUAUAGUCUAGCAUAUCAUAGUUAGUGCAAUUAUACUUAGCAAUCAUUGAGACAAGAUUACGCCCAUGCAUAGUGAUACUAUCAAGGUAAAUGAGAAACAUAGCAAUCACUCCCCUGUAAUAAUGUUGCUCUGCCAGCCCUAUACACGAGAGGAGGACUAUAUAAGAAUCAUUGAAGCUGUCACUAUCACGAACUACCCCAUGAUCUAGCAUAUAGGGUACAAUCGUAGAUAAAUACGGUAUAAGCACCACGCCUACACAAUAUCUAUCAUUUACCCAUGGAUCCGAUGGAUAAACACUAUACGAUCCUAAACAUGUAUAUAAUUCCAAUCUAACUAAUCCAAGUAUAUAACUAUGAUAAACUAAGGACAAUAUAAUUGCAAAUAUAAACAAGUAGAGCAAAGUCAUAAUAAAUAUAUUGAAGUAGAACAAAGUCAUAUUAAUAAUAUUGAAGAACAAAGAUGAACAAUUAGAAGAACAAUUAGAGAAUUACCAAGAAUCCUCUUGACAGAUCCGGAAACCAAUCGAAGAUUGACUCCUUCUAGUUCUAAUCCUAUGUAGCUAUGCUAAUCUAGAUGUCUAAUUGAUGUGGUGGCUCUAGGCUUGAUCAGAGGCUUCUUCUCCCUUGAUGAAUAAUGAAUUAGGGUUGAGAGCUCUUCUCCUCCAGGGGCCAGGGGGUCUGGUUUUAUAGUCCUUCCAAGUGAAUAUGGGCCGUUGGAUCAAACCGACAUUGAUGGAAUGGUAAUCGUUGAUCCUUUAGGUCGGUGGACCGUAAUCUCGAAAGAGAGUCCUGAUUGGACUCUAGAGGUGGGCGGGCGCCCUGGUCCUGAGGGCGGGCGCCCUAGGCCAGGCCCCGUUCUACCUCCGCAUCGUUCCCGUGACUUCUGGAAUCUUCUAGAUGUAAGAUAAUUGCGCGGCUUGUUAAUAUCUCUAUGUAAUCCCGACGUGUGGGCCUUUCUUCCGUAUUUCCUGAUAACCCCCUACAGAAAUAGACAAACACCAAAACUCAUGGAAUUCUGUCAGAUAAAACCCUAAGUCUGGAUGUUGAUUUCAUUUGGAUCCUUUUCUUUGUUUAUUUGAUAAUUAAAUUUGAUACUUAAGGAGCGUCAACAAACCCCACAAGAGUAUAUGUGCAGAAAUGAAAGUCUAAUCUUCUAUACUCAAGCUAGGUACUCCGAUAUAUAUCCCCGAACAUAUAUCGCAGCAUGCUACACAUUUGGAAUACACCCACAUAUACAUCAAACAUGUAUGCGUGGCUGCACCUACUACCCACAAUUAUGUACCUUCAUAUAUACAUGUGUGCAACAUGUAAAUAUUCCACUAACCACAGCUAACAUUCCCCUAGACCGACAGUUGGACGGUCAUGCUCUCACAGCUCAUUACCGCAGCGUAGAGGCAUAUAGAUCACUACAAGAAUCUUGUGAUUUUUUGACUUUCUAUUUAUGUCAUUACAUAUGAAAAUAAUGUCACAACAUAAGAGUUGUGACAAUUAGUUGAUAAAAAACUAUAUGUCAAAAAAUCACUGUCAUAAAUGGAUCAUGUGACAUCUGUAUAUUCUUUGUCAUAAGGUAUGACAUUGGUUAUUUGUCAUAAUAUCUGAGACCAUGAGCCAUUAGAAUGAUGCGUCCAGCCAAAACGCGUCACUGAUGAACCUUUAUGAGUGACCCGUUGAGUCUAUACGCGUCACUGAUGAGCCUUUAUGAGUGACCCGUUUAGUCUAUACACGUCACUAAUAACUCCUUAACAGUGACGCAUACAGGGAAGACGCGUCUAUGAUAACAGAUAUAAAAAAUAAAAAAAGAUAAAAUUUAGAUCACUGAUUUUAUAUACAGCAAAAUAGCAAACAAAUCCACACUUUUUCAAACAAGAUCCACUCAUUUAAUACAAGAUUCACAAUCUCAAUUCCAUCCAAAUAGGCCAAUAGGGUUGCGAAAAAAGACUACACUGUGCCAGGACUGUAGAGAAAUCUAGAUUUAGAGUUUUGCAGACUACUGCCAUGCCGCUGUGAAGGUGCCAACGUUCUUGCCGGAGUCCUAGUAGCCCAACAUCUCGUAGUAAUUUUGGAUCUGCAACAAUUACAAACUAUCAGUAGUUUCCAUGCAGGUCAAUUUUGCUCGAUAUAACAUAUUCACAAAUCACUACUGUGUAAAGUUCAUAAUAUGUGUCAUCAAGCAGGUCCUAGCCAUUAACUCUUCCAAGUUCUAUAAUAGACAUCAGUUGCAACCUCUUCCACUAUGGCUUGCGAACUGUUCCCAGAGACAACUACAAAUAGUAAGUUAAAAAUUCCAGCUACCUGGGAGAGCAUCAUCUAACUGGACCAUUUCCUUCUCUUCCAGCAGCCCAGUCUUUCAUAGCACUAUAUGUAAAAUUGUAGUCUACCUGAGAUAUAGCACGAUCUGCAUCAGAUUAACAUUUAAAAAAUGACAAUACCAGAUCACAUAUUCCAUACCUCAAAAUGACAAUAAAUAGCAACUUGCCUGACUGUUGGGCAGUAAUAGAAAAGGCAAAUCAAGAGAAAAGGCACAUGCCGCUACUUGCUACACUACCUGUAUAAGUGAACAAUACAAAGAAGUGUCAUAACCUUGGAUAAGUGAGUCUUAAUUACAUCAGCAAAAUAAUUGAUACACAUUGACAUCAAAAUACACAGAUCAUGUAUUAAUCCUUGGAAAUUUUCUUUACAUGGUUAAGCCAAAUUAGCCUCUCAGGUUACCACACGCACACACUUACACCAUUGACAUCAAAAUAUUCAAGCUGAAAGAAAAAUCUGAGCCAACAUGAGAAGAACCAGUGCCCUAUAUAUGAGGAGAAAUAUUAGUUAGAUUGGUAGAGGGUAGUAGUAGUAGUAGUAAUUUUUCAGAUGCUAACAGCAGCCAAUAGGUAAACACAUUCAGUUUUAGUCCAGUAGCUAUGCAAGAACAUGCAGUAAUUAUAGGUAAACACAUUCAGUUUCAGUCCAGUAGCUAUGCAAGAACAGGAAGUAAUUAUAAGUGCAUGAGAAUCGCAUUGGUUAAAAAUCCAUUUUGAGAAUAGCAUUCUCACUUACCUUUUAAACUGAGUGUCAUACUGCAUGCAAGAGACAAUAGAUAUAUUGUAAAUGAGGAUAGGAAAAAUCUGCACGAAGUUUUAGUUUAACACUUUGACUAGACCAACAACAGAUCUUGCACCAAACUAGAUUGAGUAAAAAUAAGUUUAUACAAAGAUGACCAGCACUCAUUAUCACAAAAUCCUUCCUCGUCAAAAAUUGAAGACUUGCAAUAGCAGACAUGCAUCAGCAGGGUUCUUCAUCCCCAUGUUUAGCUUGCAUUAAACAUUGUACCAACAAAAAUUCAUGAUGCAUCCUGAAACUCAUGAUAAUGGUCUUGCAAAAUUUCUGGCAUUCUAAACAUUUAAAACCUUAAGAGGUGCAUUCUAAACAUUUAAAACCUUAAGAGUAUGACGUAUCUAUUUGUACAUCUCAAAAAGAACUCUCAGCCUUCUCACAACAUAUUGAGCAACAAUAUAAUUAGAAAAAUAAUUUAUAAAUAUUCAACUGAGAAUAAUCCAUCCAGAAAUUAAUGUAUGAAGAACUGCUCACCUAUAUAGUGUUAUUGAGUAGUGUUAUAAUCUGCAGUACAGAACCAAAACACAAAGCAGUAUAUAUUAAAUAAAUUUAUAGACUCACAAAUGGUCAGAUAAAUUCAGUAGCAACACCUCCUCAUCUGCAGCGCCAUCGACCUUCCAUGUGGUGCGGUCCCUAGUGAUCUUCCUUUCCUCAAGCAGCUCUAGGGUUCCAGGCGAUUUCCCCCAUAAACCAAACCUAGAUCAGGAGGAACAACCUGUGAUCUACAAGAAAAGUAGGAAGGGGAAGAAAUUAAAUUAGACCUCAGAUCUAGAUUUGGAAUGAAAAAAAGGGAGGAAACAAACAACCUGUCUCCGGCUCUCCGCAGAUUCUCCACCGACAUGGAUCAGCGUCGCGGCUCUCCGGCUGGGCCUCCUUGUCACAGGCUCCUUUGGACGCGGAACUUGGGGAUAGAUCCACGUUCACGGGCUUCUUCGACGAUGGAUCUUGGGGACAGUGGCAGGAUUGAGGCACUAGCCGGCCUUGAACGAGAGGAGGGAGCGCUGUCUUGGGGUAGGAGCGGAAGCUGAGGUAGAGGAGCGGAGGACGGGAGAGAGAAGCCCGAGUAGACAGAGGCGGCACGCCGCAUGCGAGCGCGCAACGCGGAGGGAGAUGGGCGGCGCCAGGAAGGCGGGCAUGCGUGCAAGUGUGCGGCGCGGAGGGAGGGAGAUGGGCAGCGCUGGGUUGUGUGGUGGGUGGGGCACUGGGGCAUGCGGGGAUAAGGUUGAAGGGCUCUCCUUUUUCUUUUUUUAUUCUAAUAAACUGGACGCAAUUUUUUUUUCCUGUUACGCGGUGAGGAGUCUCGCGCGGUAGUGUUUUGGAUGUCUCUUUCGGUGCGGCGGAAGGCUGUGGCGUCUUUUAAAAUUUUCCGUUCGUAAGAAGAAAGCUAAAAAACAAAAUACGUACAAAAUAUACAGGCUCACAUAUAUAGACACACAUAUACCCUUGUCAAGGUUAAGUUUCCAUACAUUUAAACUAAUUCAUUGAAUUUUAUUUCUAUGGGUUUCUUACACUGAAAAACAAAAUAAAAAAUAUAUAGACUCACGUAUAUAAACUGACAUAUGGAUUUUUACUGGCGGUUUUUUAAGAUACUAAAAUAAUAGAAAUUAAUAAUCUAAAAUACUUGCUUCCUUAUACAACUUAAUAAAUAAUGGUACACGGAGAAGUACAUAUGGCAUAAGUCCUGGUUUUUUCUCUUCAUGAUUGUAUCUUGAUGUUUACACGGAUAACUAAUAUAGAUAAAUAAAUAAUAGAAAAAGUCCUUGCUACGUGGCAAUAGACAAACAGAUUUAAAAUAAUUCAAUAAAAUAAUUUGUGACACAUAAUCUUUGGCAAAGAUUUAUGACAUUUCAAAAUUAGGUCUUAUGACAUAGCAAAUACUGUCACUGGAUGGAAUUAGACUAGCAAUAUGACAUUUGUUAUGACAUACAAUUUUUUAUUGUCACUGAGUCGAGAUGCAUGAAAUAAAAUAUCAUAAACUGGAUGAUUUAAUGACAUUAUGACCUGUUGUCACACUAAAAAUGUCAAAAAACCACACAUCUCUUGUAGUGGAUCCAUACAUUACCACUCAAGCAAGUGGCAUCCAUACAAUUUCACACCGUAUGGACAACGAAAGGAAAACAUUGCUUACCGUGGCGUAGUGGUACAUGAUCCAUUCGUUACCACUUAAGUAAGUGGCAUCCAUAUUAUUACACGCCAUAUGGACGAGAAAGAAAAAACUCCCAUGUUAGUAAUAUUAUGCCACCUAGAAGUCCUUAAGCGGGCCUAAAGGGUAUGACCACAGGCAUGGUAUAUGUUGUUCAAACAUUUUAAAACAGCCCUAUGUAUAGCCUAAAUUUGCCAAUUAGUUUGGGAAAAACAAAUUCCUUUGUUUUUAAAUACAUCUAUGAUGGUUAAAUGCUUAAUCUUGCUCCGAUGCCAGCUAUAACAGAACCGUCCAAUUUAUAAGAAUUCAAGUGAAUUAGCGACCACGAGAGUAGUCAAGCCAACGGACUUGAACCCAUAUAAACCCGGUAGUCCGACGAAACCUCAAAAGAUCUCGAUUCAACCAGCAUACAACCAAUACCAUACAUGAUCAAGCAUGUCCAUCACAAAUUACAAGCAUUAAUCACAGAACAUAGUUUUACAACACAUCGGAGUUCAAAUAGAGUCAUUACAACAUAGUUCAAUAGCGGAAGCAAAGUAGUUUUGAAACAACACGCACUUAGUUUUAAUUACAUUCCAGCUUCAUGAUCAACCCAACAAAAGCACAACUGGAGGUACGAGAGGUGAUCUUGCCUGAGAUCUAUUCAUCAUCCGCAGCCGGAUGGUGACAGUUAGCACAAUAGCCGUGAUACACGACAUCAUCUGCAACAAGGGUAAAUAAAACCCUGAGUACGAGAAGGUAGUCAGCUAGACUUACCCGCCAUAAACCUGAAAUAGAGUGACACCAAGGAGUAUGCAAGGCUAAUAUUUGUGGACUGGUUUGACUCACAUUUUGCAUAAAAAGCUUUAAUUUUAUGUAACUCAUUUAACAUUUUUAGCAGCAAGUUCAUUACUUAAAGCAGCUAUCCACUAGAUUAGCACCUGUUCUAAGCAUAUACUUGAGUAUUAAGCAUCACAAUAAAACCAUAUCUGGAUUAUCACAUAGCCAUCAUCAUUCUCAUCAUAACCAUCAAGUUUAUUUAGUGAGUUCUACGUUGCCACUGCUCGAGUCAAGUUCUCACUAUCCGAGAGAGACGGUGAUUCGAAUCGAUUCCUAUCCAACUGGAGGGGUAUUCCUAGCACUCACCCAAGCACACCUCAUGAGGGCAGCUCGGAUCACCUUUAGCACAACUCUGGACCAAUUCGCGGGUCCGUACAGCACCGCACCACCAGGGACCGCCAAUCUGCCAGGGUCAGGACUCUAACUUGACACCUCGGUCUUACGCCAUUGACUCCCCGCAAAUCCUUGCUACCAACCGGGGUGCGCACUUUAACCAGAUCGGGGUAUCCGGCCGGAGAUGCACUCGUAAGCUUCACGGUCGGAACGACUUAUCCGGCCAACUAAGUGUUAGGCAAGCGUUCAACAUGACACGAGUACGUACAGCGUAUCGGUCGUUAAACGACACAGACGGGGAUAGAUUCACACCCAAGACCUCCAUGCCUUGUUGCUGCACUAUCGUCAUCCCGCCUGGUCUCAAUUUCAUUAUUAGCACAUGGUUAUUUCCAUGAUAGCAAAUAUAGCCAACCGUGAUCAAGUAUCCACCUAUAUCUCGCAGGUAAUAGGAAAUCAACCGGCUUCUACCGAGCUAAGCAUGGCUAAGCAUUAUUUCGAUCCUGGACCUAUUUAGGAAAGAUAUAAGGUGGACAAGGUAGUCAUUAUGCAGCAAGGGUGUCAUAUCAACGCCUAACACUUAAUGCAACAAUACAUAACCAUAGUAAAUGACAGCUGGACAUGGUAACAAAAUAACAGGAGUCUUAUAAUGCUCCGGGACUUGCCUUCGACGUAGGUGGAAGGACGGUGGUCGGGGCACUCCGGUAGAUCCUCUUCCUUCUCAGCUCCUUCUCCUUGAGGUGGCUCCCUCUGCUGCUCCUCCGGCUCUGGUGGUGCGAACUCCAGGACCGUCAUGCCCUUGGGUAACCUAUGUAUGCAUGUCAAGCCGAUAAACAUAGGGAAUGCACAUAUGAUGCAUGAUGUCAUGAUGAUAAGCCAAAGGAACAUAAAACAGGGUGCAAACAUGAGCAUAAGCUUCUAAUAUUAAGAGGAUCAUGAAACAACAAGUAAGUGCAUACUUCUUCUCUGGUAGAGAGGCUAACUAGGCAAACUACUCAACCUUAGCUAUUCACACUUAGCAACUGGUGUCAUGGACAGAUUAGCUAGUCACAAGUUUCAGCUAUUACUUAGGUAUCAGUUGGCCAAACUAAGCAAGUGGGCACUUUCUGGAAAGCUUGACAAAUUGUCUACAAUUCAUUUUGAGACAUCCCAGAAAGAUUCCCAACUAAAAUAGGCCAAAACAGGCAAAGUUUUCCGGCUGCUCUGGAAAAUCCAGAGAACAAGCACUUCGUAGCAGCUACUUGCUACAGUCAUAACUUUUAAACUACUCAGUCAAAUGUCAUAAAAUUUGGACACAAGGUAGAUAAGUAAUUUAGCUACAAGUUUGUUAUAGACAAGUUUUCCAGAAAACUUCAUCUUCAAGCAGUUCUUAAACAGUUGCUAUCCGCUACACAGAAUAUGCUCUAGGCAAGACAUAAUUAGCAAAAUAAUAUUUUAACACAUACUAAGAAUGCAACAAUGGUUCAAACCAAAGGCACCAGUAGCUAGAUUAUGUCUAAGAAACAUCAUAAAACAUCAUGGCAAGGUUUAAACUCAUUUCUAACAUCACAUUUUCUAUUUAUUUAAUUAUUAAGAUGAUUUAAUGAGCAUGUAACACAGGUGCUCCACAAAUUACCAUCAAAUUACGGCAAGCUACCUAGGCUAUCACAAGGUUACUGUAAAAGUUUCAUGGCUCUUGCACAUGCAGAUUGUGAGGUACAAAAAGGACAAGCCACUCAUGGCAUUAGAGGCAUAAAUGUGAAACCCUAUAAAAAAGUGUCAAACAACAGAUUUCAGAUUUUUCUUAGCUAUGUUUACACAUGAUUACAGCACUCAGCAAGUUUCACCUUAAAAUGAGUUAUAGUCUAUUUACUAAAAAUACCACAAAAACUCCUAUUUAAACAAGAAAUAAAUAUAGCUUCACCAACAUACAUCCAAAAAUCAUAAUAAAUUUAUCAGAGCCUAUUUAUGUCAUAAUUAACACUCUCCUAAAUUUUUAUGGCCAGAAGACUCACAGAUCUCAAGAUAUAAUUAUCUUCUAUUUAACUAAGAUUAAAUCAUAACUAUUUAUUUCUGCAAAAACAUGGUAUGUUUUAUACUUUUAAUAAAAACUAGACGAAUUCAAGAACCUAACAAAAUUGGUUUCACUCAAAACGGAUCCCUGCAGCUUGAGAUAUUGAAUUUACAAGCUUUUAAAAAAAGAACAUAGAAAAGAUUAAAACGAAAAUAACCACAUCCUAAGAACUACUACACGCACCGAGUGCUGAGUACCCCAAAGGCUGACAGCUGGGACCUAAGGUCAACCUGGACCCACACGUCAUAAGGACAAAAACAGGGGAGCUACUUUGACCGGCCAUAGCUCGCCGGCGGCGAACUUUCCGGCGACGCGACCGCCACCAACAGACUCCUUACAUCGAGACGCAUCUAUCGGGAUAGGUUACCAAGUAAACGCCUCGACUUUCACAUGACGGCAAAGGAAGAGGCGGCUCGGGCUGUAUGUACAUACAUACGCAGCACGGCGGCCGGCCAUGGCACACGGCUACGGCAAACUUUGCCGGAGGCCGGUCAUGCGAGCGGCAACAGCCCUAGGUGACUGGGAACGAGUCGGACAGAGAGUAGCGAGAGAUGCGGGACGCAAUGGCGAUGCACGAGCUUCAGCUCAGCAACAUCCAUGGCGGCGGCUGCGGCCCUGGUGCCCUUACCAAACGGUGGUUUGCGUCGUAUUUGAACAAGAACGUCGAGAGCUCACCACCCUGCUGCAGCCAUAGAAAACAAAGAAGGAUGCCUAGCUACAGAGAGCAGUGGCAGCAAGCAGACAGCAAGCAAUGGCGGCGGCUGUCCUCUUUGGCCCAGGCGAGAAGUGCGAUGUAGACGAACAGGUAGGCGAUUGCCUCGGUGGAGUCGCACGGCGCUCGGCUUUAUUCGUAGCUAUGUGGGGCCAACAUCAACGUACGACAUACACGCGGCGCAAGCAAGCAGAGCUGGUCGGCCACGAUCCAACCCAAACCAAUUCGAAGUCUGAUCAGGAACCAGCAAAAGUACUGCAAAAAUACGUCUGAACUCGAGACUUCGCAGCCCUCCAACUCCCAAACCAGUGCGAACUAGCAAAAACUUCAGUGAUACAAGUUGGAGAUCUGAAUGAGUACUCCAUCUUUGAUUAUAAGAGUUUGGUCUAGUUCAGCUUAAAUUAGAAACUAUGAGCUGCCAAAGUACCCUACACGUAAACUGACAUUCAGUUUCGUCAGUUCCUACACUUAGCCAAAAAAUGCCAUGUCCAAACAGCCCCUAAAUUUACCUUGUGUGCAAUUUUUUAGUAUGAUCUGCACAGUUUCAUUAAGAUGGCCCUAAAACAACAUUUGUAGCCUAUAAAAUGUACUACAACUUUGCUUUAGGGUUCAUUGACAUGCAAGGUUUCUAACACAGGUUUCAUAAAAGCUCUUUAAAAAGAGGUUUAGGUGGUCAACUAGGUCAAUCCUAGGGUUAACCAUGGCUUAGGGUCAUAUUUAGGUAAAACCUCCAACACAAACUUUGUUCAAAAUGAUAUUCUAAACAUGAAUAAAGUAUUUUAGAAGACAAUGUGCACUUAUAUGCAUUGGUCACACAUUACUAUCACACAUAGCAAGUCACAUUAGCAAUUCACUCAUAUAGUGUAUACACAAAUGGCAUGCGAUCAUGGUAUGAUGCUCAUGAGUGAGUAUCAUAAUGCUUAUGUUGAUGCAAUGCUCAUGACUAACAUGCAAGCUAACACUAGGGGUGUUACAAGGAGUACUCGGCCCAUGUCUAUAUUUACGUGAACCCAUAGGGUCGCACGCUUAAGGGGUCGGAAACCUAAUUCGGGUUGGACCCAAAUUAGACAAGGCUUAGGGUUUCUAAUUGGGGCCCCGAUUCGGGGCUGAUUGAGGACUUCUAUAUAAGAGAGGAAGGGGGCAUGGCCAGGAUUAAUCUCAUGCCAUUAGGCAGUCGCCGCAACUCACCCACGCUCGCGUCUUUUGCUCCUCGCGGGACCUGGCAGCCGGAGGCGCAACGCUUCUUCCCCGCACGUGUGGGAUACCUCGGAGGUGCUGCAUCUGGAGCACAAGGACGAACCGUGGGAUAGGGAUUGGCGUGGUGGAUGACCACGCAACUGCACGGCACUGCUACUAUGCGCACAACUACAUCGAGUCGCUUCCGCUACAUCUGCGCGUCUAGUGGUAAUCCUGUGAUCUAUAACUUGCAGUUGAUCCUUGUUUAUGAGGUCGAAAUUUUGUUUCCUAGCUAGCAUAGCAUCCUCAUAAUCCAUCAGUAGUAUCAGAGCUGUUACUGUGUUUUUAUAGAUUUGAUUGGCUACAUAUAAAGAUAAGUGCAGUUUUAGAUGAGUCUCAUGAUCUUGGUUCAUGGUUUUGUUGUGCUGGUAUUGUAACGAUCUACUCGUACCGGUCAGAAUUCCGCCAUCCGAGUUAAGUGAUACAUGUAAACCCAAUCAUGGUGAGAAAGAGAUAAUUCAGAAUGAUCUAAUUGAACCCUAGGUCAAGUGUCGGGCGCAUGUGAUGCGCGGGGGUAGUAGAUGGGAUCUACUGCCGUGCGGCGGAUUGCCGGGCAAAGUAUUGUUCGGUAAAACAGCCGUAACUUUUGAUCCAUGACUUGGAUUGAGACGAUCUAUAAAUGAAAACCGUAGAGUAAAAAGUUUUACAUCUGAUGCUCCAUGGUCAAACUAUGUUCAGCGAAAUUAGAACUGUGAAAAAAGGCCAGCAAAAUAGAGUUUUUGGCCUUGCAAGUUUAGAUGUCCGAAUCGGUUAACUCUGUUUUGUAGGGAUUCAUGACUGGUAUAGCCCUUAUGUGUAUGUGAUGCAUGUAUGUAAUAAAUUCAUGGCUUACACGUCAUGAUAAUGACAAUAUGGCUGGAGCCACACAGAUAUUGUCCACCUGAUGUAAUGGCCUGCGUGCCAAUCUGUGAUGAUCCUACCCACGACUAUGUAAUUUUAAUUCACUGCCUUGCGUUAGUGAUAGCUAGUCUUGGUGGAAUCAUUACUGGAGGAUGGCGUACAUGGAUCAUGGAGAUGGAGAUCACCAUGAUGAAGAGAUAGAUGGAAAUGGAGAUGGAGAUCCCCAAAGUGAUAAUGGGCUAUACCAAGUCAUAUCUGUGUUAAUGCCGUUCUUACUAUGUUCUACUUUCAUAUGCGAUGAUGUUUUGUCUACAUACGCACGGUAGUAAAGUAGAACGAUCCCUCAACAAUGUUUAAAUUACAUGCUCCCCCAAACCUUGCACUGUCAUGCGUCUUGUACAAUCGGUGGUAGGUCUAUGAAAUUAGGGUGCCACUGGUUUUCCUUGACUAGGCAGGUUCGUAUCGGAUACUUACUGCAGAAGGGUUGGUUUUCUUGAACAAGGUCAUCCUAACAGUUAGGGACCUUGGAGCAUAAGUAGUUGGGUAACACAAGCAUAGAGAUGUCAUCCCAACAACAAGAGUCAUAUGUGAUAUGAUUAGCAAGGAGUUGCUUACCGAUCUACCAUGUCUACUAGCGGUGAUGCUAAAGCUCACUAGUAUACUUGUUCGUUGUGGGUCUUGAAUCACUAAGUAUCAAUUGAGGGAUAUUGAUUUUAGUGGGAGUAGAUUUUAUUUAAUAUUAUUUACUCUUUCUUUGAUACGUUGUCUUAGUAUUUUGUAUUACUUUUGUUGUAGAUUAAUGGCGCCCACCAAUCAAACAUUUACUUUACGCUCAAUUCUUGAGAAAGAUAAGUUGAAUGGAACAAACUAUGCAGAUUGGAUCCGCAACCUGAGAAUUGUUCUCAGGGCUAAAAAAAGGAAGAGAUUCUGGACACCCCAUUACCAGAAGCACCUGAGGAUAAUGCAUCAACUGUAGAGAAGAACGCUUACAAGAAAGCAUGUGAUGCUGAUCUUGAAGUGAGUUGUCUCAUGCUUGCUUUUAUGGAACCUGAGCUGCAGAUGCAGUUUGAAAAUAAUCAUGCAGCGUAUGAUAUUAGCAUAGCGCUUAAUGAUAUGUUCUAGGCUAAGGCUAGAACUAAAAGGUUCCAUGUCUUAAAAGCUUUUGUUGCUGCAAGCUAACAGAGGGCGCAACAGUUGGCCCACAUGUAAUCAAGAUGGUUGGUUACACUCAGAGGUUGGAGAAGCUAGGCUUCCGAAUUGGCCAAGAGUUGGCUACUGAUUUCAUUCUCUCGUCUCUUCCACCCAGUUAUGGAAACUUCAUCUCGAACUACCAUAUGCAUGGGGUGGAGAAGGGCUUGAAUGAGUUGUGUGGCAUGCUGAAAACAGUAGAGGCUGACAUCAAGAAGAGUGCAGGCAGUAGCCAAGUGUUGGCUGUCCAAAACAAGCCUAACUUUAAGAGAAAGAAGGUGUUGAUGCAAAAGCUGAUCUGCAAACACAAAGGGCGAAUACCAGAUUCAAGCUGUCACAGAACCGACCAAAUUAUAAGAGUUCAAGUGUAGAAACGAUCGACAAGCAAUCAAGUUUCCAAACUUGAGCCCAUAUAAUCCCGGUAGUCAAUUGAAAUCACGAAGGACUUCAAACCAACUUGCAACAAACCAAGAUCGUAAUAAUUCAGCACAACACAGCGAAUGUUACAUAGUCAUUCAUUGCCGUCGAAGCGGCACCACAUCGGAGUAUUAAGUUAUUAUAACACUUGUUUGAAGUAGCGGAAGCAAAAUAAUUACACACACUUGUUCAAGGUUUAGUUCACAAUUUCGAGUUACUACCAGAGUCUACAUCAUCCUUCCAAAAGCAACAGGUACGAGUUUGUUAGAGAACCGUGCCCAACGGUUAGUUCUCAUCCCCAGCGGGAUGGAGACAGGUCUUGCAGAAACCGUCAUAGAAGAUGUCAUCUGCAACAGGUGGGAAUAAACCCUGAGUACGAGAAUAUACUCAGCUAGACUUACCCGUCUAGUAAACAUAAAAGACACCAAGGAUCAUGCAAGACUAAGAUAUAAAAGUAGAGCUGGUUGACUCGACAUUUUGCCAAAAGCCUUUAUUAUGAUUGACUCAUUGUGAGAGCAUCUUAUUUAUUUAUCAUCGGCCUACCACUUAGAUUAGCACCUGAACUAAAGCACUUCACUUGAUUAAUACAAGCAAUAAUAACCAUAUCAAGUUCAUCUUAUGUUCUUCCUUGCUAUCAUCAUUAUCAUGAACCAAGUUCAUUAGUGAAUGCUACGUUUGCCGCUGCUCUGUCAAGUUCUCACUAACCGGGAGAGACGGCGAUUCGAAUUGAAUUCCUAUCCAGCUGGAGGGUUAUUCCUAGCACUCACCCAAGCAUCCCCCGUCGGAGAGCCAACGGGUCACCUUUGGUACAACUCAGGAAUCGCGGCUCCGAUCAGCGCCGCACUCCCAGGGCUACCAUUCUGCCAGGGAGUUCAGGAAUUUUAACUCACCUGCCUUUGGACUUACGCCAAUGGUCCCCCGCACACCGCACUUCCUCCGGUAGUGCGUACUUUAUACUUACCGGUCUUCCGGCCUAAGUCAUACUACUCGGCUUUGCGGUCGGAACGAGUUAUCCGGCCAACUAAGUGUCAGGAAUGCGUUCAACAUGACAAGAGGACGUACAACGAUCGGUCCUUAGCUGCCACAGAUGGAGUUACUACAACCUUGCAAAACUCCACCCGGCUUAAAUCAAAUUAAUCAGGUUCCAUCCACGAUAGCACAUAUAGACCACCGUGAUCCGACACAACCCUAUAUCGCGCAGGUGACAGGAAAUCACCCGACUUCUACCGAUUAAGCAUGGCUAAGCUGCUACUCGAUCCUAACUCUAUAACCAGGUAGGGUAAAUUAUCUAGACAAGGAUGGAAUAAAGUGCAGCAAAGGUUUCAUCACAACUCCUAUACUUAAUGCAUCAAUAGAUAUAACAUAUUAGAUAAACUUUCAAAAGUAAAAGGGAGACUUAGAAUGCUCUGGGGCUUGCCUUUCACGAACGAAGCUGGCUCGUGACUUGGGCACUCAACCUCUUCUUCGGGCUCCUCGAGUCCGACUUGCUGGACCUCCACCUCCGGGUUGCCCUCCUGGCCUUCGGGAUUCACUUGCAGAUUGAAGGAGGCUGCCACGUCCGAUACACCUAUUGCAUGCUCGGUGAAUGAGAAGGUGUGCAUACAAAAGAAUGGAUGCUUGAUAACAUAAGUGACCCACUGGACACUCAUUUACGGAGUAAUAGUUAUAACAAGUUCACACAAGUUAACAAGUUAACUUAGCCCAAAACCUAUCAUGAUAGCCUAUAACAGCAAGCAACAAACAGCAGGAUGAGCUCAGUAAACAGAUCAUAACUAGUGCUAGGCAGAUCCAACAAAUUUAAGUGAGGACAUUCUAGAAAGCUUAUGAAAUUGUCUACAAAUCAUCUUUAAACAUCACAGCAAGAUUCUUACAUUUAGACAAGUCAUUUAAACAAAGUUCCAGGUUCUGUUCCAGAAAACAGAGAACACCUAUUUCUGGAAUCUAACUUGGAAAGAUCAUAACUUCAAAGCUACUAGGCCAAAUGACCUCAAAUGUAAACCACAGCUAGUUCAAUAAGUUUACAACAACUUUGAUUUAGACAAGUUUCCCAGAAAACCAAGUUAUCAUUAAACAAAAGUUAAAUUACUCCCUUGCUGUCCAGAACAGCAUUUAACCCACCAAUUAAUUAUUUAAUGACAUAGCCAAGGCAUAAACAGUGUCAACCACAUAACUUAUAAGUACAAGCAUAUCACAAGGUUACCAGAACACCAGAUGAUAGCCCCAAAACAUUUACUUAACUAGGCAUUUAUUAAUUAAUUCUAGAUAGGAGUAUAAUUACAAGAUACUAAUCAAAGUGCUCAGAAAAAUUUAUGAAAAUUACAGAGGCACAAGUAUAGCAUUAAAGUAUCACCAUAAAAAUUUCAGAGCAAUUGCACAUACCGAAUUAAAGAUAUGUAUUUAACAUGUAACAAGGUGUUUAUUUCAUAAAUUGGAAAACAUGACUUAUAUUGUGCCAAACAACAGGUUUCAGAUUAUUUACACAUUAUGAAUGCCAUAAGCCAGUUUACCACCAAAAUAGAGUACCAGCAUAAACACCAAUUAUUUUAUAUGAUUUAAUUAAAGAAACAAGCCAAAUCUCAAACAUAAAUUACAUAACAAAGCUGCAGUACUCCAAAAAUCAUGAAAUAAUUAACAAAGCACCACUGCUGCAUGAUCGGGCAUUAGCACCGGUCGGGAAGGGCCUGUUGCCCCGGUUCCCGAGCCGGUGCUGCCCUUCCGGGACUAAAGGCCCACCCUUUAGUCCCGGUUCGGCCAACCGGGGCUAAAGGCCCCCCCUUUAACACCGGUUGGUAACACCAACCGGUGUUAAAGGGUCCUGCCAGGGCUGCCACGUUGCAGGACCCUUUAACACCGGUUGGUGUUAUCAACCGGUGUUAAAGGGUUUCUUUUAGUUCACUUCUUCGGUUCUGUUUAUUGUUUAUAUAUAAUAUAUAAUAAUAGGUUUUUCAAUACAUGUUUUGCUGAUACAAUAAUAUAUUUAUAUUACACGCAUAUUAAGCAUAUAUAAAUGAAAAUUAUAGGCUAAGCUUAAUAGUUAAGCUUUGCCUAUAAUAAAAUGAAUAGACCACAUCAAAAAUUAAAUAGAUAUGUAAAAAGCUUUAUAUAUAUAUAGUUUUAUAUGUACAAAAUUCGUAACACAUAUAUACAUAGAGUUUGUUCUCCCAAUGUCUACAAACGAUACAAAUGAUCAUCGUUGUUUGGUAUAAGAGUUUCGUUGCCGUUGAAGUGAAACUCGCCGUUUGGAUUGAUCACUUGGUCGCGGAGAAAUCCUGCUAUCGUCUCUUGGAUAGCUUUGAUUCGGUCUUGUUGUAGGACCUUUUCCCUCAGCCAUUCCGUCUUUAAUUUGAAAUAAAUAAAAAAGGUAUUAGUUAUCUAAGUUAUUCAAUAUAAUUCAGGAGAUAAUGAAAAGAGACAUGUAACGUACUCUGAGCGUCUCUGUGGGUGUUUGAUUGACUUGUGCCAUCAUGAAUUUGCACACGUAAUAUGCACAUAGAUUGUUCCCUCCUUCUUGUCUUAAACACCACUGUACGAUGUAUAUAUAUAUAAAAAUAUUCAUAACCACGACAAUAAGAAGGCUAAAAGUUAGCGAAAGUUUGUUAGCUAGUAGAACUUACUUGUGGAUGUAUUAUGUUAAGCGGCGCUUUACAUCCACUGAGAUGUUCACGGUCAAUGAAUCUUUCCCAAACCCUAUACACAGCCAUUGUGGAUCGUGAACUAAUAAUUACAGAGUCAUAUUAUGAUAUUUUUGUAGCUGAGAUCGACAUUACGUACCUUUGAAUAAUGUUUACCAUUUGUUGAUAAUUUUCUUGUGGUUUUCUCAUUGAGUCAAAGAUUAUCAAUCGGUUCUUGGGAAUUUCAAUGACCAUGAGUAUCCAGUGAAAGCUGUUUACACACACAUAUAUAGGGUCAGUCCUAUAAUGUAAAAUAAAAUAUGCAUGCACUUAAUAACUAUAUAACUCACUCGAAGUUGAAGGGGAAGAGUAUUUUUUGUUUUUCUUUUUGGUUUACAAAGAACCUCAUAAGAUUGGUGCAGAUUUCUGUCUCAUAAUCUGCUGUCCACACUGCCUGCGGAGCCUUGAAAACAAUAUAAGGGUCAACGAACCCAAUACUAUUGUCAUUUCUCAUUCUGAGCUCUCUCAUUUGGUGCCUGCAUAUAUACAUACAAAUCCUAAGUGUGUAAGGAUUAUAUACAUGUAAUUAAAGAAGUUACAAGUAUAAUAAAAAGGAAAAAUACUUACAGACAAAAGCAGCUGACAAGAGAUUUGUCAAGAGCGUCGAGGUGGCAUAAUUGGUGCAAUUCUUCGAACUGCACGUAUAUGAGGUCAUCUCCACGGAAGUAGUGAUGUUGUCUAAUACGAACAGAAAUCCAAUUCUCUCCCCUUUUAGACGCCUCAAUGCACCAUUUGUUUAUUGCAAACAUUUGUGUGCCGAGCUCGUGUAAACGCUUAGGGUCGAAUAGACUCCUGCCCGGUUCAUAUCUUGCCCUCCAUUGAUCAACUACCUCGGCUUUUUCAAAUGUAUGACAUCCAAGAAUGGCGGUAAUUUCUUCUAUAUUUAAACCGCUCUGUCCAAAGUAACUCUCAAGCGAGUCUAGCUCAGACAACGCUAAGAAUUUCUUUGGCAUCAAGUCUUCAUUUGAGCCGUAUUGAUUUGGCACAAUCAAAGGGGGCACCGGUUUUGAUACUUCUCCGAGCUGUGGGACCCCCUUUCCUACUCUCUUCUUAGUAGGCUGUGAAGACUUGACCAGAGACCGCUCAUAGUCCGAAAGUGCUGGCUUUUUCUGAGCUUCGCGUUGCUUCUUUUGAUGGUCCGCCACCUUCUGCCUCAGUUCCGAUGGCUUCACAUAAAAGUACGGCUUUUCUGGGUUAAGCCGUUUUUUCCUUUCCUUCUUUAUUUUAUCAAAAAAUUGUUGGACCUCAGCUUUAGAUGUAGCAAUUACCUCCUCUUCACUCUUUUCGUAAGGUAAUUUUUCUGGCGUCUUAGCUCUCUUUGCUGAGGCAGCCUUCUUUGGAGGUGGGACCGAUGACUUCGGUCCUUCUUGGACGGACCGCUUCUUACUACCUCGCUUUGGAGGCGAGGGGACCGACCGUGCACUCUUUGGAGAGGGCGGUGCAGGCGGUGGAGGGGGUGGGGCCGAUCUUUUUGGCGUUGGAGAACGCGGUGGAGGAGUUGGAGAACGCGGUGGAGGAGUUGGAGACCUCGGUGGAGGAGGUGGAGACCGUGGUGGAGGCGGUGGCGGGGUCGGUGUGGCCGCCGCAGGUGUUGGAGGAGAUCCAGCAUUGUCACCGCCCGCAGCACUAUGAUGCGCUGGGGAGAGAACUGGACUUAGGUUGGAGGAGUCCCUGCAAAGAAAACAAUUACAAGUUUUGUGAGUAAACUUUUUUUAAAUUUCAAUACAUAAUAAAUAAUAUAAGAAGUAAAAUCACACACAAACCUAUGCUGAGGAAUAAUUAUGAAGCGCUUGCGCCAACAAAUAAAUGUCUUCUCAGCUUCACCUAAGGUCUUCUCUCCGUCUCCCCCUUCUAUGUCUAGUGGCACAUUGCCACAACCUUUCUCAACCCUAUCAACCGAGACGCUAGCAUAUCCACCAGGUACUGGUCGAUUAUGGAUUCUUGGAGUGCCCGUUCGGUCGAUAGGGUUGACAACAGCGAUAGCCACCUUUUUGGUGGCAUUCCCAUCUGGUACAUGCAGCUCACAGGUAGUAAAAGCCUCUGUGACAUCAUCCACGGGGAAGUGUAGCUUCGUGUCAUCCUGAAUGGUUGGUACUUCCGUGGAUGCGCAGCUGCUUUUCAACUGGCCUGGGGGGCUAACAUUGACCUCAGGCUGUGAUGUACCUUGCCCUUUCGUCAUUUGACUAAGUGCUGCUUGCACUUGCCUUUGAAUUUCUGCCUGCAUCCAUUCUUCACGAGCUUUCUCGCGCUCUUGUGACUGCAGAACAAAAGCUUCCAGGCGGCGGAUCCGCUCUGCCUCCUCAUCCUUCUUUCUCUGGCGGCUUCUGUAGGUAUCUUGAUCGGCUUGGAAUGAUUGCAGCCAUGUAACUGCCCCAUAGCCUCUCGUACGCCCACCGUGCUCAGGAUUUUCAAGCGCAUAGGUGAGUUCAUCCUUCUCCCUGUUAGGCCUGAACUCACCAGACUGAACCGCCUCACGUGCACGGACUAGUCUCUCUGCUGCUCUAGAGAUUUCUUGGCCCCAAACUAGCGCCCCGGUGUCUGGGUCCACGCUUCCCCCAUGACCGUAGAACCAAUGUUUGGAGCGCUCGCUCCAAUUCUUUGCUAUUGUCUCGGGUGUGACCCCCCUAGCAAGCAUCUCCUGUUCCAUUCGGUCCCACUUGGGAGCAGCACUCUUAUAACCACCUGAUCCCAUAUGAUGGUGGUAUGCCUUUUUACUGGCAUUCUCUUUGUUUCUAUUGGCUCGUUCCUCGCCCUCUUCUGAUGUUUUGUACUGCACAAAGUCAUCCCAGAAGGCCCUCAGCUUUACAUAUUGCUUGAGGUUGAAAUCUGGAGUCUCGUUUUUCUUGACAUAUUUAUUGUACAAAGACUUCUUCCAAUUUUGGAAGAGUACUGCCAUCUUCUUCAUAGUCCAGUCAUAAAUUCGCACCUUCAACUCUUCAUCGUUGGUGUCGAAGGUGAAAACGUCUGUGACGGCUUUCCAAACUAACUCCUUGUCACGAUCAGAGACAAAACUGAUCUCAGGAGCACCUCGCUUCUCUCUCCAUUCACGACAACUGAUCGGUAUUUGAUCUCUCACAAGAUAUCCACAGUGAUUAACAUAUUUAUUUGCAUGCUCACCAAGUGGUCUGCCUGUAGCUAUCUCAAACUCAGAGAUUACAUAGCGGCCCUCCAACGGCUUCUUUGGUCCUCGUGGAGGUACGCUUCUCCCCGUAGAGGUCGAUCCAGAAGGCUACACGUACAUAUAGAAACAAAAAUACUAAAUUAAUAACCAAGUAAUAAGUCUAAAACCUAAUGUAAGAGAUGCAUUAUUUAUAUAUGUUUACAUUUACAUACCUCGCCAGUAUUUUCUUCUUGUUGCACGACAAGUUGUUGCUCAGGGGCAUUGCCCUCUUGUUGCUCAGGGGCAUUGCCCUCUUGUUGCUCAGUACGAUUGCCUUGCAUGAUGUCGUGGUAAUCAACAAAGUACUGACUACCGUCGUCGAUCAUAUUUUGAAUGGCAGCUUCCAUAUAAUCAGGAUCAUCAUGAGGACGGUCAGCCAUUUCUAUGUCUGCAACCAUACAUAUAUAUAUUCUAUAUAAGAUAAGAAAUACACUAAUACUACUACAAAUGAAAGUGUUGGAGUGCUCUAAAAAUAAUACUAGGAUCUUUUAAGCCAAGUAAUACAUUAAUAAGAAAUACACUACAAUUCAUAAUACACUACAAUUCAAAACACUACAAUUCAUAAUAUACUAGAAUAACAUACUAAAAAGUCUUUUAAGCCAAGUAAUAUACUAGAAUAAUAUACUAAAAUAUAAUACUAAAAAAUAAUACUAUAAUAAUAGUAUAAACUAAUAGUAUAUGUUUUAAGCCAAGUAAUACACUUGCACAUAGAAUAAUAUACUAAAAAAUUCAUACUACUACAAAUUGAUACAAGAAUAAUAUAAGUGCAUAUAUAUACAUAAUAAGAAAUACACUAGAAUAAUAGAAGUGCUAGAGUGCUCCAAACUAAAAAGUAAUACUAAAAAAAUAAUACAGACAAUAACACUAGAAUAAUAUACUAGCACACAAUAUAUUUCAUAAUAAUUCAAAACACUAGCACAAAAUAUAUUUCAUAACAAUUCAAAACACUACAAUUCAUAAUAUACUAGAAUAACAUACUACAAAGUCUUUUAAGCCAAGUAAUAUACUAGAAUAAUAUACUAAAAUAUAAUACUAAAAAAUAAUACUAAAAUAAUAGUAUAUAAACUAAUACACACUUGCACAUAGAAUAAUGUACUAAAAAAUUAAUAAUACUACAAAAUGAUACAAGAAUAAUAUAAGUGCAUAUAUAUACAUAAUAAUACAAAAUAAUAGUAUAUAAACUAUUCGGUAUGAAAUAUAAGUGCAUAUAUAAUGAUACAAAAUAAUAGUACAUAAUUAAGUGCAUAUAAAAUAAUAGUAUAUAUACAUAAUGAUACAAAAUAUAUUAAUAAUAUAAAAUAAUGAUAAAAGAACAAAAUGAUACACGAAUAAUAGUAUAUAUAUAUACAUACAUACAUAUAUAUAUAUAUAUAUAUAUAUAUAUAUAUAUAUAUAUAUAUAUAUAUAUAUCUUAUAUAUAUAUAUAUAAGAGAUAUAUAUAUAUAUAUAAACUGUUGGUAUUCAUAUAUAUAUAUAUAUAUAUAUAUAUAAACUGUUGGUAUUCAUAUAUAUCUAUACAAUUCAUAUAUACAAUUUUAGUCUAUACAUAUAAACUGUUUUGACAUUCAUCCAUAUAUAUAUAUAUAUACACACGAGCGAUCGAUACACAUGAAGAAAUAUACGUAGAUCUGUGGAGAGCCGCUGCAGCGACGCUGGAGACGAACGGCGGCGCUGUAGAUGGCGGCGGCGGCGCUGGAGACGAACGGCGGCGCUGGGAGACGAAUGGGCGGCGCUGGACGACGGCGGCGCGGAGAUCUCUGCUCGACGAAGACGAAGACGAAGGGAACUGCCCAGAUCCAGGGCUCCUGCACACAUUUAUAGGGGCGGACCCUUUANNNNNNNNNNNNNNNNNNNNNNNNNNNNNNNNNNNNNNNNNNNNNNNNNNNNNNNNNNNNNNNNNNNNNNNNNNNNNNNNNNNNNNNNNNNNNNNNNNNNAAGUAGCAUUCCUAGUAAUAUAUAACAAAAAUAAAAAGUUUUACGUCAAUAUGAUGUGAAAAUAAAUUUCCAGUUCAUUGGAUAUAGUUUUUGUAAAUUUAUUGGAAUAAUAUAUUUUUGCAUUAACAAAAUACUAAACAUUUCUUACAAAAUCAUUGUAAAUUAUAAAAAUACAAUAAGAUAUUUAAGUUUAAAAAUUUUCAUGUGUACAUUAAAACAAAUUACAAUAUAUGUCACUAUUUAAAAAACAUUAUGCAAAAUAUUUAAUUUACUAUACAAUUUAUAAUAUAAACUGUAUAUAUAAAACAAUUGAAAAACCCUAAACUAAAAAAAUGGGCCUUUAGCACCGGCCCAUAGUGGGAACCGGUGCUAAAGGGUCCUAGGCGGGCUCGGGCGGGGUCCUGAAAUUUUCAGGACCCUUUAGCACCGGUUCCCACUAUGGGCCGGUGCUAAAGGCCCAUUUUUUUAGUUUAGGGUUUUUCAAUUGUUUUAUAUAUACAGUUUAUAUUAUAAAUUGUAUAGUAAAUUAAAUAUUUUGCAUAAUGUUUUUUAAAUAGUGACAUAUAUUGUAAUUUGUUUUAAUGUACACAUGAAAAAUUUUAAACUUAAAUAUCUUAUUGUAUUUUUAUAAUUUACAAUGAUUUUGUAAGAAAUGUUUAGUAUUUUGUUAAUGCAAAAAUAUAUUAUUCCAAUAAAUUUACAAAAACUAUAUCCAAUGAACUGGAAAUUUAUUUUCACAUCAUAUUGACGUAAAACUUUUUAUUUUUGUUAUUUAUUACUAGGAAUGCUACUUGGGUAUAAUUUUCAUCAAAUAAAAAAUCAUAUAAAAAUAUAUAUCUUGAUGAACACACCCUUUGACCGAACCCUAGAUUGUCCCAAAUGGAACAGUCAUGAAUACAAAGUUUGCUACACUCAUCAAGUUCUACAUUUUGUCUAAUGGUCAACUUUUCAUUUGGAAAAGUUUGAACCACUGAAUUUUGAAUUUUCAUGGAACUCAUAGCCACGCAGCGGUUUCGGAACCCUACAUGGUCUCGAAUGGAAAAGUCAUGAAUACCAAUAUUGUUCCACUCAUCAAAAUCUACAUUUCAUAUAUAGACCAUUUUUGCAUUUGACAAAGUUUUGGGAAGGUGUAGUUGAAAAUCCACAAUUGACACAUAUAGUUUCAUAUAGUUUGUGUGAGAACUUAGAAUUGGUGGGUAUUGUUAACUUAGAUUUUCUCAAAUGGAAAAGUUGUGUAUAUAAAAAGUUUAGAUCUUGAAGAUAUCUAACAACUUGGUAUUCAAAAUAUUUUCAUUUGAAGUAAUUUAGUUUGUCAUUUGACCAAGUUUGACCGAAACCCGUCUUGGAUUUUAUAGAAAUGUAACUAGAAUUGGCUCAAAAUUAUCCAAAUGGAAAAAUGGACAAUAUAUAAAAUAUAGAUUUUGAUGAUCUCUAACAACUUUGUAUUCAAACUUUUUUCAUUUCAAGUCAUCAAAUGGGCUAUUUGACCAAGUUUGACCAAAGUCAAAGCAUUGGUUUUUACAAACACACCCUUUGACCGAACCCUAGAUUGUCCCAAAUGGAACAGUCAUGAAUACAAAGUUUGCUACACUCAUCAAGUUCUACAUUUUGUCUAAUGGUCAACUUUUCAUUUGGAAAAGUUUGAACCACUGAAUUUUGAAUUUUCAUGGAACUCAUAGCCACGCAGCGGUUUCGGAACCCUAAUGGUCUCGAAUGGAAAAGUCAUGAAUACCAAUAUUGUUCCACUCAUCAAAAUCUACAUUUCAUAUAUAGACUAUUUUUGCAUUUGACAAAGUUUUGGGAAGGUGUAGUUGAAAAUCCACAAUUGACACAUAUAGUUUCAUAUAGUUUGUGUGAGAACUUAGAAUUGGUGGGUAUUGUUAACUUAGAUUUUCUCAAAUGGAAAAGUUGUGUAUAUAAAAAGUUUAGAUCUUGAAGAUAUCUAACAACUUGGUAUUCAAAAUAUUUUCAUUUGAAGUAAUUUAGUUUGUCAUUUGACCAAGUUUGACCGAAACCCGUCUUGGAUUUUAUAGAAAUGUAACUAGAAUUGGCUCAAAAUUAUCCAAAUGGAAAAAUGGACAAUAUAUAAAAUAUAGAUUUUGAUGAUCUCUAACAACUUUGUAUUCAAACUUUUUUCAUUUCAAGUCAUCAAAUGGGCUAUUUGACCAAGUUUGACCAAAGUCAAGCAUUGGUUUUUUACAACACACCCUUUGACCGAACCCUAGAUUGUCCCAAAUGGAACAGUCAAGCCNNNNNNNNNNNNNNNNNNNNNNNNNNNNNNNNNNNNNNNNNNNNNNNNNNNNNNNNNNNNNNNNNNNNNNNNNNNNNNNNNNNNNNNNNNNNNNNNNNNNNNNNNNNNNNNNNNNNNNNNNNNNNNNNNNNNNNNNNNNNNNNNNNNNNNNNNNNNNNNNNNNNNNNNNNNNNNNNNNNNNNNNNNNNNNNNNNNNNNNNNNNNNNNNNNNNNNNNNNNNNNNNNNNNNNNNNNNNNNNNNNNNNNNNNNNNNNNNNNNNNNNNNNNNNNNNNNNNNNNNNNNNNNNNNNNNNNNNNNNNNNNNNNNNNNNNNNNNNNNNNNNNNNNNNNNNNNNNNNNNNNNNNNNNNNNNNNNNNNNNNNNNNNNNNNNNNNNNNNNNNNNNNNNNNNNNNNNNNNNNNNNNNNNNNNNNNNNNNNNNNNNNNNNNNNNNNNNNNNNNNNNNNNNNNNNNNNNNNNNNNNNNNNNNNNNNNNNNNNNNNNNNNNNNNNNNNNNNNNNNNNNNNNNNNNNNNNNNNNNNNNNNNNNNNNNNNNNNNNNNNNNNNNNNNNNNNNNNNNNNNNNNNNNNNNNNNNNNNNNNNNNNNNNNNNNNNNNNNNNNNNNNNNNNNNNNNNNNNNNNNNNNNNNNNNNNNNNNNNNNNNNNNNNNNNNNNNNNNNNNNNNNNNNNNNNNNNNNNNNNNNNNNNNNNNNNNNNNNNNNNNNNNNNNNNNNNNNNNNNNNNNNNNNNNNNNNNNNNNNNNNNNNNNNNNNNNNNNNNNNNNNNNNNNNNNNNNNNNNNNNNNNNNNNNNNNNNNNNNNNNNNNNNNNNNNNNNNNNNNNNNNNNNNNNNNNNNNNNNNNNNNNNNNNNNNNNNNNNNNNNNNNNNNNNNNNNNNNNNNNNNNNNNNNNNNNNNNNNNNNNNNNNNNNNNNNNNNNNNNNNNNNNNNNNNNNNNNNNNNNNNNNNNNNNNNNNNNNNNNNNNNNNNNNNNNNNNNNNNNNNNNNNNNNNNNNNNNNNNNNNNNNNNNNNNNNNNNNNNNNNNNNNNNNNNNNNNNNNNNNNNNNNNNNNNNNNNNNNNNNNNNNNNNNNNNNNNNNNNNNNNNNNNNNNNNNNNNNNNNNNNNNNNNNNNNNNNNNNNNNNNNNNNNNNNNNNNNNNNNNNNNNNNNNNNNNNNNNNNNNNNNNNNNNNNNNNNNNNNNNNNNNNNNNNNNNNNNNNNNNNNNNNNNNNNNNNNNNNNNNNNNNNNNNNNNNNNNNNNNNNNNNNNNNNNNNNNNNNNNNNNNNNNNNNNNNNNNNNNNNNNNNNNNNNNNNNNNNNNNNNNNNNNNNNNNNNNNNNNNNNNNNNNNNNNNNNNNNNNNNNNNNNNNNNNNNNNNNNNNNNNNNNNNNNNNNNNNNNNNNNNNNNNNNNNNNNNNNNNNNNNNNNNNNNNNNNNNNNNNNNNNNNNNNNNNNNNNNNNNNNNNNNNNNNNNNNNNNNNNNNNNNNNNNNNNNNNNNNNNNNNNNNNNNNNNNNNNNNNNNNNNNNNNNNNNNNNNNNNNNNNNNNNNNNNNNNNNNNNNNNNNNNNNNNNNNNNNNNNNNNNNNNNNNNNNNNNNNNNNNNNNNNNNNNNNNNNNNNNNNNNNNNNNNNNNNNNNNNNNNNNNNNNNNNNNNNNNNNNNNNNNNNNNNNNNNNNNNNNNNNNNNNNNNNNNNNNNNNNNNNNNNNNNNNNNNNNNNNNNNNNNNNNNNNNNNNNNNNNNNNNNNNNNNNNNNNNNNNNNNNNNNNNNNNNNNNNNNNNNNNNNNNNNNNNNNNNNNNNNNNNNNNNNNNNNNNNNNNNNNNNNNNNNNNNNNNNNNNNNNNNNNNNNNNNNNNNNNNNNNNNNNNNNNNNNNNNNNNNNNNNNNNNNNNNNNNNNNNNNNNNNNNNNNNNNNNNNNNNNNNNNNNNNNNNNNNNNNNNNNNNNNNNNNNNNNNNNNNNNNNNNNNNNNNNNNNNNNNNNNNNNNNNNNNNNNNNNNNNNNNNNNNNNNNNNNNNNNNNNNNNNNNNNNNNNNNNNNNNNNNNNNNNNNNNNNNNNNNNNNNNNNNNNNNNNNNNNNNNNNNNNNNNNNNNNNNNNNNNNNNNNNNNNNNNNNNNNNNNNNNNNNNNNNNNNNNNNNNNNNNNNNNNNNNNNNNNNNNNNNNNNNNNNNNNNNNNNNNNNNNNNNNNNNNNNNNNNNNNNNNNNNNNNNNNNNNNNNNNNNNNNNNNNNNNNNNNNNNNNNNNNNNNNNNNNNNNNNNNNNNNNNNNNNNNNNNNNNNNNNNNNNNNNNNNNNNNNNNNNNNNNNNNNNNNNNNNNNNNNNNNNNNNNNNNNNNNNNNNNNNNNNNNNNNNNNNNNNNNNNNNNNNNNNNNNNNNNNNNNNNNNNNNNNNNNNNNNNNNNNNNNNNNNNNNNNNNNNNNNNNNNNNNNNNNNNNNNNNNNNNNNNNNNNNNNNNNNNNNNNNNNNNNNNNNNNNNNNNNNNCGUUUUAAUCGUGGUAUUAUAGGAGCAUACCACAUAACCUUGGCUGGAAUUUUCUUCCUAUGACGUUCUUCACCCUCAACAUCGCCAGGAUCAUCUCGUCUAAUCUUAUACCGUGAUGCCUUACAUACUGGACAUGCAUCCAAAUUCUCGUAUUCCUCCCCACGGUAGAGGAUGCAGUCAUUAGGACAUGCGUGUAUCUUCUGGAUUUCUAAUCCCAAAGGGCAGACAACCUGUUUUGCUUCAUACGUAGUGGUGGGCAAUUCGUUGCCUUUCGGAAGCAUCUUUUUUAUGAUCUUCAAUAACUGCCCAAAUGCCUUGUCAGAUGUACCAUUCUUUGCCUUCCAUUGCAGCAAUUCUAGUGUGGUACCCAGCUUUUUUUGCCCCUCUUCAGCGGUGGGAUAUAGCGAUUUCCUGUGGUCCUCUAGCAUGCGCUCGAACUUGGCUUUCUCUUUAUCACUUUCACAUUCUCUUUGUGCAUCACGGAUGGCAUCACCAAAAGCAUCAUCGCCCCGAUCAUCUUCUGCCGCCACCUCUUCUUCAUUAUCUCCCCCCAUUGCAACAUCAUUGAAGCCACCGUACUGAGCAAUAAUAUUGGCAUGGUCCAAUUCUUCUUCUUCUUCUUCUUCACCUUCAUCCAUUAUAAUCCCGCUUUCUCCAUGUUUGGUCCAACAAAUAUAGUUUGGUACGAAACCAGACUUUAAUAAGUGUGAAUGAAGAGUUCUUGAGUUAGAAUAUUCCGUCAAAUUCUUGCACACGGCACAUGGACAGCACAUGAAACCGUCCCUCUUAUUUGACUCGGCCACACUUAAGAAAUAGUGCACGCCAUUAAUGAACUCUUCGGAGCGCCGAUCGGCAUUAUACAUCCAAUUACGUGUUACCAUCUGCAUUAAAGAUAACAUAUAUAUUAUGAAAACCAUGCACACAUAUAGUUUCUCAUCUUAUUGCACAACAUGUCUAAGAUACAUAGUUGAUUAAUUUAGAAAAGCUUGGCUACAACAAAUACAAUCGCAACUAGCAUUAAAAAAAAUAAAACUAAAAUGCACUUAAGCAACAUAAUUAGUUCGCGUCCGAUCCCAACUAUAAUAGAUAGAUCAUUCGCUUGAUCAACUUCAUUGAACUUCUUUCGUCGGCUCACUGCCUCACCACCUUCAGCCUCAACCACCUGUGCAAAAGAUUUCUUAAUGUGUUCAAUGUAUUCUUCCUCCCAGUACCAACCUGUACAUCCGCCGGUACCGUCCCACUGAAAUUAAAAGAGAGAAUCAAAAGUUUAAUUAAUAUCAUUUAAAAAAAUAUGCACAUAUAUAAGCAAAUGUCUGGAAAUAACUCACAUUACGAUCUGGACACUUGUAGAAUAUACGACCCUUGUUUACUCCCUCUUUCGACACUUUGUACUCCAUCAAAAUCUUCUGCCCACACUUGCCACAAGUAAUGAGAGGGAGUUCCGGACGGUAUCGCUUUUGAACCCGUUGAGAGACGGAAGACCCGGUCACGGUUGCCAUCUACUAUCCAUACUCAAUUUUAAAACAAUUAUAAAUUCCACAUUUACUAGUAAACAUGUAUGAUACAAUGGACAUUAUAUGUAGUAAUAAAAAUAAAUCAAGUGAUAUUAACAAACCAAUUAAUUUGAACUAUCCUACUUUCUAUGAUCAUAAAAAUAUACUAUAAUUCAUUCUUGCAAAAUAUAUUAAAACUAGGUCAACCAUGAAAUAUGAUAUAUAUAUAUGGAUACUAAUUCAUGUGAAUGAUUCAAAAUAACAAAGUGGAUUUGAGCUAAAAAAUGAUGGGAACAUCACAAGCCAAAAACAACAUGAAAAAGACAAGAAAGGCUGAAGUUAGUCACCUCUAAGCGCGAAGAGACGAUGACGGAGUCGAAGAAGAUCAACGAUGGGCGUUGGAGAUGAAGAACAAAUGAAGAACAAGCAAGAAGAAGCUCCAAGAACAACAAUGGUGCUCUCGGUUUCAAAUGGGCAGAGGGGAGGAGGGAGCCGGCCUAUAAACCGGACCUUUAGCACCGGUUCAGAGCAAAAACCGGUGCUAAAGGGUUACCUUUUAGCACCGGUUUGUAACACAAACCGGUGCUAAAGGGUUUGCCUCGGCCCGUGGCUCUGGCCGGUGCUAAAGGGACCCCUUUAGCACCGGUUCUUGUUAAAAACCGGUGCUAAAGGGUCCCUGCCCCGACAGCACAUGUCAGUAGCCGUUGGGCAGGACCCUUUAGCACCGGUUUGUCACACGAACCGGUGCUAAAGGGGUCUUUAACCCCGGGCCGCAAAAAGGCCGAGGUUUUUGGCCAUUUUGGGCAUCGACCAAUGCCUCAUUCUGUAGUCACUCUAGUAUCACACAGAGACUACCAUAAAAUUUUCAUGGCAAACUAAACAGUAUAACAAGAGAUAUGAAUUUACCCAUGAAUAACAAUAAAUAUUUUCUCAAAACAUAGUUCAUUUUAUAUUUUUAUUAAAAACUAGCCAUCUCAAGGAACAUCACAAAAUUGGUUUCACAAUUUUUGGAUCACCAGAACUAGAGAUAUGAUUUUUGCAAGAAAGCCAAAAAUCCAGAUUUUGAAUAAAAGAAAAGGAGGGAAGGAUGACACUGACAGUGGACCCCGUCUGUCAGGUUCUUCUCCCUCACGGCCGCGGCGACUCUCGCCGGCGAUUUCUCCGCGACGGCGAGGUCUCCGGCCAAACCAAGGGCACCAACGUGAUCCCCAGACCCUGGCGACUCGACUGAUCCCCUUUUUCCCACAGCGGAGCCACCGGAAGGAGCUCGCCGUCGACGAUGGCGGCUCGGCGGAGGUGCUCGGCGUUACGCCGGAGUCCUCAGGCCGGUAGAGCGUGACCUAGGGUUUCCUACAGCACUAGGGGACUACGGCGGAGCUUCCUAGGUACGUGGCUUGGCUUGAAACCUUGUGGAACAUGCUGGCCACGAGAGCACCCAUCUCCGGCGGAAACACGGCGGCGCUGCGCAUCGUGUCCGGCGACGGAGAGAUCGGUAGAGCGUCCACCAAGUGGCGCAAACGCUCGCUAAGGACCUACUCUACCUCUAGGAUCUAACCAGAGACGACGAGCGGCUUCACAGGGCUCGACAUUGAGUUCGCCGGAAAAGAUGGUCACGGCGACCUGAGUUGGGGAAGAAGAAAAUGGCGGCUCACCGGUGGGUUUCGCGGCGAGCUAGAGGGUGGAAAGUGAAGAGAGGCUCACGGCGGAGCUUUGGGUGAAGUUUGGUGGGCUGAGACGCAGCGAGGAGCGCACACGAGCUCGCCGGAGUGAGCUCGCGACGGUGAGCUCGCUGCGGGCGCUCUUCUGGCGAGAGAGGGCAAGGAUGGCGAGAGUGGACGCGUCCACUAUGUCCGGGGCGUCGCCGUGGACGUCAUGCGCACGCCGGUCGGCCACGUCGGCGAGCUCAAACCUGAUUCAGACAAAACGAUGGCCGACUGACAGAGCUACUUUGACAACGAUUUACUCCCAAACCAGAGCGAAUUAGGACAUGAUGUAGUUGACAAAGUUGGAGUGCUAGCCGAGAUCUACAACUUUGUCAAUUAGAGCAAAAGCUAGAUCGGCCUGGAUUGAGAGGUAUGAAGUUUUCAAAAUCGAUCGAGCAAACUGUUUGUGUUCCCGGACUUAGAAAAUUUUCUAAGUGUUGGAAACAGCCCCAAAUUUACCUUAUGGGUCAGUUUUGAGCUAUUUGUGGUCAUUUUCAUGAGAUGGCCAUAAAACAACUUUUGUUCCUUAUAAAAUUGGCUACAACUUUGCUGUAGAAAGUUUUGACAUGCAAACAUUUUAUGAAACACUUUUUAAAAGCCUAAGGAAAAGAGGUUUCUAGGGCCUAUUUACACAAGUAUGACUUAAGGGCAUAUUUUGGAGAAGUGAUCAAUAUGAACAUUGUUCCCAAGGUUAAGUUAAGCAUAAAUAAACUAAUUACCAAGGCCUAGAGCACAAACACAAGCAUGGUCACUCAAACAUAAGCAUAGGAAGCCUAUUUAAGCAAUUUAGAUCACAUAUUUGCAUAGAAUGACAUGGCUCAAGAUAGAUGAUGAUCAUGAUAUGCUUUGAGUAGAUGAUGAUGCUCAUGCUAUGCACAGGAUUAAUGCAACCAUAACACUAGGGUGUUACACAAAUGUUAAGGCAUGCCAGCCGAUUUGACCUUACAAUCGACAAAGGUGGUAAUUCAAACAGUUUGGUCCCGACAACAGCGAUGCGCCCGGAUGUCACGGCCAAGAGGUGCUCACGCGGAACUUGAGAACACGUCGAGUUUGACUCGAUGAAUUCCUAAGAACUCAUAAUAAAAGAAAAUAUGACGAAGUCGCCGAAAAAGUAGAUGCUGGAAUAUAUGUAAAAACUUGUGUUUGAUUGAUUGAUAGAUGUCUCAUUACAUUGCCACGGGGUCUAUAUUUAUACCCUGCCUUAAAGAAUUACAACCAGACACAACUAGAAUCCGAAUUCCAAAUUAAACGGAAUCCGUAUACAAAACGAACUCUAACAACUAUAGAAAGCAUUAAACUAUCCUCCACAACUGAUUGGUGCACUGCCACAAGUCAAUCAGCAACUUCCGCGCUUUUCUUCAGAGUCGUCGGCAGACUGCCUGUUAUAGCCAUUAGCAAACACCGGCACUGGUCAUCGGCACGAACACACCACCACUUCUGGACUUGGUCAUAUUCGGUUGUUUCCCCAUCGGCACCAACCUUUAUCGGCAACUCCCGUGUAGACUAGUCACCAUUGCCCCAUCUGCCGAGCUACACUUCAUUAACUCCAGGUGCGUAUCUAAAGAUACGUGUCCAAAAGCGGUGUCAACACAUGCCCCCCAAUUUCGGAGUAUAAAAUCAUUAAUGCUCCAAAAUUCUCCUCAGUAAUGAUACCUUUCCGCAAUUACUUCCCUUGACUGAUAAUUAAUUACCAAAUCUAAACAACCUAAUCCCGACUCUCCUACAGAUUCCUCGAAUUCCUCAACAUUCCAAACCGAAUCUCCGCAGAAUGUGCUCAUCGGCAAUAUUACCGUUAGAGAGGACUGCCGAUGGACCGACCAAACGAUCUUGCACAGUAAGAUAUCUUCACCGCUCGCUAUCAAAUCACCUGCACAAUCCCUUGAUUAUCGUGCAAACAGUAACCAUAUCCACCUGAACACCCUCAGAUUUCACAGAUGCGGCAAAGAGAUAAGUCAAAUUUGCCCUUGCCCUUUUUGUCCUAUAAAUAUCUCCUUCUCUGGUACCCAUCCUCCAUCUUGUCAUUCGACAGCCUCAAAUCCACCUUCCUGGCGGCGGCAUCAUUUGAGAACUCCAAGAACUCCAGCAAGGACCUCCUCCAACAAUCUUCAAAGUCUUCGAUCUCUCCCUUUCCUUGGGAAGAAAUGGCCAUCAACUUCAUCGUCCCUGAGGUCAACCUUCCAUCCCCCUUCUUUUUGUACUUUUGCUGUACUCCUAUUCAUCUGUGAAUCUUUUUACUGAGUACCUUUUUUUCUUUUUGUUUCUUUUCUGUUCCUUCAUCCUUAAAAAUCCUUUAGGAGUUAGCCGAUAAGAUCGUGAUUCCUACCGAUCAACCUCACUUCCAGUGCCUUGGUCCAUUGGGAAACCUUGAUCCCACCGAUCUGAUAAACGCAGAGACAAAUAGGAUCCCUUUCAGAGCUGAAAAUUUCUCCUUAGAUCUGUGGAAAGAUGCUUUCCGUUCCUGGCCUAGCCCCACCAAGGGAUGGAAAGACUGGUUCCUGAGAAUUGGCAAUUCAAAUGAAGUCCAAUGGGGAGAACGGAAAUUGGACCAAUGCAUUAGGCUAUCCAUUGCCGAUAUGGAGAGGAACGAGUCGCUACUGAUAGCUACCUCAUACUUUUGGUCAAACACUCUUAAUGCUUUCUUGUUCGGUCAUGGUCCUGCUUCUCCUACUCUUGCCGAUGUACUCAUGCUCACCAGCUUAGAUAUAUCAACUACUGAUAACAGUCACCUGUUUGAUAAUAAACCUAGUUCCAAGGUAGAAACUCGCAGCAUCAGUGGCUGGUCUGGGUACAUUCAGAAGUACCGAAAAACAGGGUCUAUUGGGGAAAGGGAACAUGCCAUCUUUCUGAAUAUGUGGCUUGAUAAGUUUGUAUUCUACCGUCGAUCGGUAGGACCAACCUCUAUUUACUUAUCGGCAGCAGAAAGACUGGCCACUGGUGGCCGAUUUCCUCUUGGCCGAUAUCUGCUUGGCUCUGUCUAUCACCUCCUCCACCAAGUAGCUGAGAAACUCCUGCUAGGCCAAUCCAUCGACAACUUGGGAGGUCCCUGGUGGUUUAUCAACAUGUGGCUCAGCGUUCACAUGCAUAAGCGCCUUGAAUUCAACCUCUUCUCACAGCGCUUCCCCAGAGACAUAGCUGAAAAUUAUGAACUGGAUGAGGAAGAAUCGGCAACUCGCCCCCCUUUGAACUAUGGUGAAGCUGCCAUAGUUUUACCUGGUACUGGUGGGAAUGAAGACCAGGUCAGCCGAUUCUUCCAGACUCUCUAUGAGGGUCUGACCAAAGACCAGCAGGCAUGGAUGCCCUAUGAAGAUAUAGAAACCAGAUUCCCACUCACUUUCCACCCCUUCGACAACGCCCUCAAUAAGGACCUGCAAUCUCACCUAUGAGUUCUACAACCCAUCGGCAUUGGCCCGUCAUCUGGCCUUUGGACAGCUACCAAUUGCACUCUGCUAUGCCGAUGUGGUGAAGCCGAGGGAGAUCAUCACCAGCGGUCUUGAGUGGAUUGUUGACAGUCCUUAAGUACUAAAAUUAACAAUCAAAUAAACAUGGAAAAGGAUCAAUAUGCACCAAACAUCUAGAAUUAGGUUUUUAUCUGACAGAAUUCCACAAGCUUUGGUGUUUAUCUAUUUCUGCAGGGGGUUAUCAGAGAAUAUGGAGAGAAGGCCCACAUGUCAUGUUUACAAUGAGAUAAUUACAUGCCGCGCAAUUUUCCUCAAUCUAGAAGAGUCCAGAAGCCACGGGAACGAACGAGAAGACGAUCGGGCUCGGGGGCAGGGCGCCCGCCAAGGGUUAGAGUCCAAUCAGGACCCUCUUUCGAGACUACGCUCCACCGACCUAAAGGAUGAAUCUAAACCAUACAAUCAAUGUCGGUUUGAUCCAACGACCCAAAUUCACUUGAAAGGACUAUAUAACCAAGGCCUCUCCACCCCUGGAGGAGAGAAGAGAAGAGGAGAAAUCAUUAUCAGAGGUAGCCAUUAAAGUUAGGGUUUAGAGCUUCUCUCCCACAGAGAAUUAUAAUUAGAUACUCCCUAAUCCUUCAAGUUUAGAGGUUUUAUUAGAUAGCAAUUAGAGAAGUAGAGCACUACGCUCUGGAUUCGGAUCUUCGGUAAUAAAGAUUGGUAUUAUUCAUAUCUUUCUAUAAUACUUUGCUCUAAUUACAUUAUGUCUCUAUUUAUUAUGCUCUUAGUUUGCUCUAGUUCUAUAUUUGAUAUAGUUAUGAUUGAUAAUGAGUUUAUGUAUAAGUUUGCAAAGCGCUUAGCUCUUGACGCGAGGGAGUUAAGUGGUAGAUCACAUGUGGGCGUGGUGCUUAGAUGUUAUUUACCUGCAAAUGUAUCCUAUUGGCCGGGUUGUGUGGUAGUUCGCGAUAGUGACAGCUUCGUUGAUUCUUAUAUAGUCCACCCUCCAUUGAUAGGACAGGCAGAACUUGUAUUGCGGAGUAAUUCUUGCGAUGUUCUGAUUUACUUUAGCAAUGUUCCUUAUACAUGAAUGAAGAGUCUUUUAUGCUAUAUAUGAUCUUGUAGAUAACUAGAGUAGAUUGUGACUUAAUAGAUAGUAGAUAACUUAGAAUCCAUUCUCUAGCUAAUCCGACGUCACCUACAUAUAUGAGGAGUAGUCUAUUUUCAAAUCACUGUGUUAUUUACCCAUGAACUUAUAAUUCAUUAUCAUUAUGUUUAUGGUUUACCCCCUACCAAAGUAAGUGACUGUGUGAUGAGUUUCUCAUUAGUAAUCAUGUUCUUGCAAGUUUAUCUCUAGUCUAUGCCUUGAUAGAUUUUGUCCUUAAUUUAAUUUCAUUCCUUUUGUUCUCUUAAGCAAAAUUAUAAAUAACGAUACCUGGAAUACUUAUCCUGGUGAAAUGCUACAAUGAGGUGUUUUAUCUGUGCGCUUGCGGAUAGAAUAGAUUAUUUUCUAGAGAGCCUUUACAUUUAUAAAUACCUUUGUACACUCUGGCACCAUGCUGGGGAUGACAACCCAGUAUCUAAGUGGUGUUAGCUAGUGUCAACAUGGAUCAGAAUAGCUCAACUCCCACCAAAUGCCGAUACAUUAGACAUUGAUUUAUCGGCUUGGAUCCCAGCUCUCUUCAUCACCCAGGCAUACAAACAGUGGUGGGCAGAGUGGAAAGAGCACCCGUUCUACAGAUCGGCCCUUACAUACCGUGGCAUGAUCAACCCCAAGCAGAAAAUCCCUGAGAAUACUGUAAGUCUUCAACCGAUACUUCAAUACUUUCAUUAUUUUUACUCCUAUCGGUAACUCACUUUUCUCUUUUUAAAUAGGUCAACGACACACCACUAACAGUCAGCAGGAGCGGAAAGCAGAUCGAACUCCUUCCAUCAGGCCCGAUCUCCCUCAUCGGCAACAACGCACCAACCCUGGCAGCUCUGAUGCACCAGAAUGUGCGUUUCAAGAAGAUAACCACCAAACGAGCAAAUACAUCUCCAUCAGUCGCUGCUGCCACCUUAGCACAAGCUUUCAAGGUGAAUCCCUUGAUUUCCCUAAUUCAUGCCGAUUUCAUUCUAUACUCACACCAUCUUUUUAGGAUACAUCGGCCGCUAUGGGAGCUCCAUCGAUAACUUUUACUGUUUCAACCAGAAUUUCAUUAAUAUUAUGUUACACUUGUACUUAUGAAACUUUCGUUGUAUCAGCAAACUAGCAAAUCGGCAAAGACCAGAAGUGCUAAGACAAGUGCCGAUGGCCCCCAGUCCAGUCAAGCUAAGAGAAAAGCCCCCAAGAGUACCAAGACACGACCAAAACUCCAGAAGACAGCACCACCUUCUUCUCCUCCUCCAGUAUCGCCGAUUCAUGUGGAUUCGUCCCCUUCUUCACCAGAACUCCACACUCAGCAAGCACCAUCUCCACCUCAGCCAGAAGAGACAUCAGCCGAUGUACUUGAACAAACUGUCGAUCCAGUAGGUUCAAUCAUAUCAUCGGUAGUUUCCUCAAUUCAGACAAGCACUACACCCCCUCAAGGUAAAGUACUGUCUAUAAAAUUAUCGCCGAUGGAUCUGUUUCUUCAACUUAUAACGAUCAUUAUUAUGUUUUCAACUGACAUUGUUCCAUCGGCAACUCCAGCUGAUCAACCCGUGGUGCCAUCAGCAUCAACUAGCCAAAGACAAGAAAUAGCUCUGAAACGAGAAAGUUAUUUGAUUCUCGUCCUUUACUUUACUAAUAUUUGAUCAUCAAAUAACCUAUCUCCUUUUCCUUUUCAUGAACAAGAUUCUCCCGAUAGCCUAUUCUCUUUCACCAUUGAAAUUUCCGAUGAUGAGGGUGAGGAAGCAAGCUCUUCUCAAGCAAUCGGAAUUUCAUCGGCAGAAAUCAGAGCAAAGCUGGAAGAUCUGCUGGCCUUGCUUCAUCAGGAUAUAGCUCAACUGGUUGAUGACUCCGAUCCAGCCAAGGCUUUGUUUAAAGCUCUUAGAGGCCAAAUCCCUACCGAUGCCGAAGAGGUCCUCUUCAAGGCUGCACACUUGGAGAGCCGCCAACUCCAGUACCAAAAGGCUACUCAGCGUCUUGCCGAUAGAGCCACCCAUGCCCAACUCUCAGAGGAGGUAAUGAAAGUGAAACAUCUUGCCGAUGAGAAACAUAAGAGCAUCGGCAUUCUACAAUCCUCGGGAGAGACAUUGAGGCAGAAGAUCUCUGACCUAUCGGCAAAAAGGAAAACCCUGUUGGCAGAGCUCAAGCAAGUAGAAGAGGCUCUUUCCCAAGCUCAGCAAGAAGAAAAUCAGCUGCCCGAAAUGAUCAAGACCCUCGAACAAGAGCGAAACAUUCUAGCCCACAAGGCACUGCAGAUGAAGAAGAAGCUGAGGCCAGUGGAGGGCUCUGCCGAUGAAGACAUCAAGGAGAUAGAAGAAGCCGAUCAAAUUUGUCUGCGCGCCAUAUCGGCAAUCCAAGCUCUACUGAAUGUAAUCGGCGGCGUGUUUUACUCUUCCUUCAGAAGCUUCUUAUUAUUUUGGUCUAGCCGAUAGGACUGUUAUCGGCAUUCUUUUUAAAACAUCGUAUUCAGUCCCAGACACAUUUUAAUCCAACCGAUAGGAGUGUUAUCGGCACUUAAAUUGUCAUGCAUCGACCCAUAUGCUUGGGUAAUACUUCUUUAAAUAUUUUCCAUUCAAUGCUCUGGGAAAUUCAACUCCUUCGAGAGUUUCCACAAUAUAAGCAUUACUAGGAGCAGACCGAUUUAUUCGAUAAGGACCUUCCCAAUUAGGAGACCAUUUACCAAACUUUGAACUUUUAGUCCCAAUCGGUAAUAUUAGUUUCCACACCAAAUCUCCAUCGGCAAACUCCUUAGCUUUUACCUUUUUAUCAUACCACCUAGCAACUCUCUUUUUAUUUUCUUCUAUACUCAUCAAAGCCUUCAGCUGAUGCCCUGCUAAAUCAUCCAACUCAUCUUUCAUCAAAGUAGCGUAGUCAUCGGCAGUCAGCUGAUCUUGAAAAGAUAGUCGCCUAGAUCCGGUCUUAAUUUCCCAUGGUAGCACUGCAUCGUGUCCACAUACCAUUGAUAAGGUGAAACUUUAGUCGACCCAUGGCAUGCCAUCCGAUACAACCAUAAAGCUUCACUUAACAAUGUAUGCCACCUUCUAGGAUUUUCUUCAAUCUUUCGUUUGAUGAGUUUAAUAAUUCCUUUGUUAGACGCCUCGGCCUGCCCGUUGGCUUGAGCAUAAUAAGGGGAAGAAUUCAAUACUUUAAUCCCCAUACCGAUUACAAAUUCACCAAACUCUCCUGAUGUAAACAUGGUACCCUGAUCGGUAGUAAUUCUUUGAGGAAUACCAAAUCGGUAAAUAAUAUGCUCUCUCACAAAAUCAAUCAUAUUGGCCGAUGUUUCUUUCUUCAAAGGAAUAGCUUCAACCCACUUAGUGAAAUAAUCAGUGGCGACUAAGAUGAACUUAUGCCCUUUGCUUGAUGGUGGGUAAAUCUGGCCGAUUAGAUCAAUAGCCCAUCCCCAGAAUGGCCAAGGUUUAAUAAUGGGAUUCAUAGCCGAUGCGGGUGCCCUUUGAAUAUUGCCAAACUUUUGACAUCCUUGGCAUCCUUUGAAAUAUUUAAAACAAUCUUCGAGUAUGGUUGGUCAAUAAUACCCGUUUCUCCUAAUCAUCCAUUUCAUCUUAAAAGCCGACUGAUGUGCUCCACAUACUCCUUCAUGGAUUUCUCCCAUGAAACUUUUAGCCUCAUCAUCACCUAAACAUUUGAGAAGAACUCCAUCUAUUGUUCGAUAAUAAAGCUCAUCCCCAAGGAGUACGUACUUAGUAGCUUGAAACAUGACACGCCUCUCAACCAUUUUAGAUGGAUCCUUUAAAUAAUCAAUGAUCUCCUUUCUCCAAUCAUCAGCACCGAUUGUCGAUAACGUGUUAAAUAUGGGUCGAUAUCCCGAGGCAUCCUGAGCCAACCGAUUAGCCUCCUCAUUAUGCAAUCGAGGAACAUGCUCUAAUCGGAAAUCCUUGAAUUCCUUUAAUAGCUGCAUACUCCGUUCAUAAUAAGUUAUAAAGACUUUGCUUCGGCAUUCAUAAAUCUCAGCCCGCUGACUUAUAACAAGCAUAGAAUCGCCGAAGAUCUCAACAGCACUAGCAUAAACCUCUUUUAACAAUUCCAACCCUUUGAUCAAAGCUUGAUAUUUAGCUUGAUUAUUGGUGGACGUAGCAACAAUCGGCAGAGAAAACUCAUACUUCUUUCCCUCAGGAGAAACCAAUACUAUACCGAUUCUUGCCCCCCGGUCACACGUGGAUCCAACAAAGAAGAGCGUCCAAGGAACAAUUUCCAAAGUACCCAUCAUACCGCAAUGUUGAGCCACAAAAUCGGCCAUAAUCUGUCCUUUAACUGCUAGCCGAUUCGUAACGUAGAUCAAAUUCCGACAAUGCCAAAUUCCAUUUACCGAUUCUACCACUAAUAAUCGGCAUAGAUAACAUGUAUCGGACUACAUCAUUUUUGCAUAUAACAGUGCAUUCGGCCGAUAGCAAAUAGUGCCUUAACUUGAUGCAUGAAAAAUAUAGGUAUAAACAUUAUUUUUCUAUUGCCGAAUACCUAGUCUCAGCAUCAAUCAGUCUUCUACUUAAAUAAUAAAUCACACGCUCCUUCCCUUCAAAUUCUUGAAUCAAAGCCGAACUGAUGACCAUCCCAUCGGUAGACAAAUAUAAUCUGAAGGGUUUUCCUUGCUGAGGUGGAAUUAGGACUGGAGGAUUUGUCAAAUAAUUCUUGAUUUCAUCCAAGGCUGACUGUUGCUCUUUUCCCCACACAAACUCUUGAUCGGCUUUCAAUUUAAGUAAAGGAUUGAAAGCACAAAUUUUACCAGACAAAUUAGAUAUAAACCACCUGAUAAAAUUUACCUUGCCGAUCAAAGACUGAAGUUCAGUUUUAUUGGUAGGAGCAACUAUCUUGUUGAUGGCUUCAAUAGAUCUCCUACUAAUUUCGAUUCCUCUUUGAUGUACCAUGAAACCAAGAAAUUGCCCUGUCGAUACACCAAAUGCACACUUGUUAGGAUUCAUCUUUAAGCCAUGUUUCCUUGUGCACUCCAACACCUUUCGCAAAUCGGCAAGAUGCUUUGUGAAAUCCCCAGACUUAACCACCACAUCAUCAAUGUAAAUUUCUACCAGCUUGCCGAUGAACUCAUGAAAGAUAAAAUUCAUGGCCCUCUGAUAAGUAGCACCAGCAUUUUUCAAGCCAAAGGUCAUGACUAUCCAUUCAAACAGCCCAACGUGACCGGGACAUCUAAAUGCGGUCUUUGGAAUAUCUUCUUCUGCCAUGAAUAUCUAAUUAUAUCCUGCAUUACCAUCCAUGAAGCUUAUGAUCCGAUGUCCAGCCGCAGCAUCGACUAGCAAAUCGGCAACUGGCAUUGGGUAACCAUCCAUCGGUGUAGCCUUGUUAAGAUUCCUAAAAUCGAUGCAAACCCGAAGCUUCCUAUUUUUCUUGUAAACAGGAACGACAUUGGAAAUCCAUUCGGCAUACCGACACUACCAAAUAAAUUUAGCUUCAAUAAGUUUAGUUAUUUCGGCCUUAAUAUCAAGAAGAAUAUUAUGAUUACAUCGGCGAGCUGGCUGCUGAUGCGGCCGAAAUCCAGACUUGAUAGGUAACCGAUGUUCAACAAUCGAUCGGUCUAAACCAGGCAUCUCGGUAUAAUCCCAAGCAAAGCAAUCUUUAUAUUCCUUUAACAAAUCGGCUAACUGUUGCUUAUACUCAGAAUCUAACUUAGCAUAAAAGUAGGUCUUGGUUUAUCACCAUUACCUAUAUCUACUUCUACUAAAUCAUCGGCCGAUGUAAACCCCUGGCCUAAUUUUCCAUCAUCGGCGAACCUAUCCAUUAAAACUCUUCAUCAGAACCGACUGCUUGGAUCGGUGGAAUCUCGUAAUCAGCAACCUUGAGAAAAUCCUUUUCCCAAAUCUCCCCUGAAAUGCAUCUGGUCCUUUCAUAAGUGUCCGCCUUUGCUGAUGCUAUAACAUAUGAAGAAUCUCCUGGGAUAAUCUCAAUCUUGUCACCUACCCACUGAACCAAGCAUUGGUGCAUUGUGGAUGGGAUGCAACAAUUAGCAUGUAUCCAAUCUCUUCCCAAUAGUAGAUUAUAAGCACCCUUUCCACUGAUAACGAAGAAAGUCGUCGUUAAGGUUUUGCUGCCGAUAGUCAACUCGACACAUAUUGCUCCUUUGACCGGAGACACAUUCCCUUCAAAGUCCUUCAGCAUCAUAUCGGUCUUGGUCAAGUAUUGAUCUCCUUUCCCAAGCUUCCGAUAGACUGCAUACGGCAUAAUAUUGAUAGCAGCCCCACCAUCAACAAGUAUAUUGUUUAUCGGCUGCCCAUCAACCAUACCUUUGACAAACAGAGCUUUAAGAUGUUGUCUUUCAUUGUCGGUUAGCUUUUCAAAGAUAGCCGUCAUUGGAUCCAGAGUCAACUGAGCUAUCUGGUCAGAAAAAUCCACCUCUUCAUCAUCACUGGACGGCGCAAGGAACUCCAUCGGCAAUAUAAAUACCAUAUUGACAUCUGCCGAUGGCCCUUUUCCAUUAGGAUCUAGCUGUUGCCGAUCUUCAGACUUAGCAGAAUUUUAUCCUUUGCUCAGCUCUUCUCGUCUUUCACGCUGCAGUCUUCUUUUCUGUGUCCUAGUCAGCCCCACUGGACACCAUGGAGGAAGUUGAGGCUGCCUUACCGAUGGGCGACGAUUUUCCCUUGAUUCCACCCGAUAAGUAUUAGCAUCCCUGCAAAAUAUGAACUCAUCGGGAACUCGUGCAUCUGCCAUCUCCUCAAGCUCCUCUUAGUUCCUAGGAAAAUAUCCGACAUGGUCACCAAGUCUAUCAUGCACACUGAGUCUGCCCCCCAGCCGAUCAUGAACUGAAGCUCUCCCCCUAGUCGGCCCAUUAAAUCGCCGAUCAUCAUUGUGAUACUGCCGAUUAGGUCUAUCAUAUUGAUCAUAACCAUUGCACUCAGGGCAAUCUCUAACAGUGGGUAGUUUAAUGUUUUUCUCCUAGCAAUUUAUGAAGAACGGGCAAUUCCAAUGAUCCUUGUGCCGAUUCCACUCCUGUCGGCGUCUUUCUUCUUCCCGACGAUGAUCCUCCUGUUGGCGCCGGUACCGAUCUUCACGUUGCUGCCAGGUCUGCCGAUGCCUUCUAUGAGUAAUUACAAUACCAGAUCGGGGAGGUCUUCCUGAGCAGGUCCCUUCCUAAAUCAGACCCUUGCCUUUGGCGUCAUCGGUAGUAAUCUAAUGUUGAGGAUCCACCGAUGCGUUUCUUUCAGCUACCUCUGAUGUCAAGACCUUGGUCUUCCCUUAGCAUCCAACAUAUUUGUAGGGAACAGAUGCUGGUCGAUUUUCAUCGGCUUCUGAGUUUUGGAACUAUCGAAUUUAAUUCUCUCAGACUCUAUAGCCGACUUCAGCUGUUGCCUGAAAACCUUGCACUCAUUUGUGCUGUGAGAUGUUGCAUUGUGCCACUUGCAGUACUUCAUCUUCAUUAAUUCUUCAGCUGAUGGAAUCACAUGGUUGGAUGACAAUUUGAUUUGACCUUCCUGAAGUAGAAAGUCAAAUAUCCUAUCGGCUUUGGUGAUAUCAAAUGCAAACUUUUCUAGUUCUUUAUGCCCAAAAGGGCAAGACAUCGGCUUCUUGUUUUUCACCCACUCUGCCAAGCCGAGGACUGGUUCUUCAUCAGAGUCUGAGCUUGCCGCUUCAUCAACAAAUGACACCUUUUUAUUCCAUGCCCUUUUUGGUUCAAAGGCCUUGAUAUCUUGGUCUGAGAUUCUCUGCACCAAAUGACUCAAACUUUCGAAAUCUUGAGAAGCAUACUUGUCUCUGAUAUGUGGCAAUAAUCCCUGGAAAGCCAAAUUGGCUAGCUGCCGAUCAUCUAGAACCAGACUAUAGCACUUAUUUUUGACCUCUCACAACCUUUGCACAAAACUCCCAACCGAUUCAUCAUUACGUUGCUUCAGCCUGACUAAAUCAGUAAUCUUCUUCUCAUAAACUUCAGAAAAGAAGUAUUUAUGGAAUUGUUUCUCCAGAUCGGCCCAAGUAAUCACUGAAUUAGGAGAUAAUUAAAUAAACCAAGUAAAGGCCGAUCCAGACAAAGAUGAUGAGAACAAGUGAACCCUUAAUUCAUCUCUGUUAGCAGCUUCUCCACACUGGAUGAUGAACCUGUUAACAUGCUCCAUAGUAGAUGUAUCAUCCUGUCCAGAAAACUUAGUGAAAUCUGGUACCUUAUACCGAUUUGGAAGUGGAAUUAAAUCAUAUGCAGGAGGAUACGGUGUCCGAUAAGAGUAAGUGUUGACUUUGGGUUUUAUCCCAAAUUGGUCUCUCAUCACUUCAGCUAUCUUAUCGGCCCAAUAAGCAUCGGCAUCCUGCCGAUGAGGUGGUUGUGGAUCUGGCACCUGCUGAUAAGCUUCCACGUGUCUCUGAGGUGCACGAUCUCCAUAGAACAUUGGGUUAAUCAUCGCCUACUGACCACCAAGCUGCUGACCAAGAUUCAUUGGCUGGUUGAUCAACCCUUGAUUCUGAAACCCUGCUUGGACUAGUCCUUGUUGAAACCCUACAGCCUGAUGAUUCUACUGAGGCAUCUGUGGAAAGACAAACUGCCCGGUCCAUCCACCAUUAGCAUUCAUCGGCAUAGGUCCUGCCGAUGACUGGUAAUUGGGCAUCAUCAUUGAAUUGACAUACACUGGCUAUGUCAUAAACCUCUGCUGCGUCGGCAUUGGAUCUGCCGAUGAGUUAGGUAUCUAAAACAUUGGCACUUGAGAAUUCCCAGUGUAAGGUCUUGCCGUAGUAGUUGUAGAAUACUGGGGAUUCUGAUUGAUCGGCGGAUUUGGAGGUGCUGAUGCCAUAGGAGCCUUGCCUGUCACGUCAGCCACUUGAGAUGUUCCAAGACUUUUUGCCAUCAAUUCUAGGGGCAUACCAUAACCCUACAAUUUAGGAGGAACAGUUCCUGACAUAAGCUUGAUUUGCCCAUCUAAUGUUGAUGGAUUAGUUGUCAUCGGUGUAGAUUGCGCAUUAAUGAUCCCUAAUGUGCUUGGAGGAGAAGUAGCUUCUGUACCCGCAACGGCUGUAGUAGCUGAUGGAGUCGUGACCAAUGAUGACCCUGGCUGAUGAUAGGCAGGACCCACAUAAGAUGGUGGUACUUGUCCUUCUUUGAAAGUUCUAGCCAUAGCAUUGAAAACCAUGUUGGACAGCACACCAGCUUGAUUGAUCAAGGCACGGUUAAUAGCACUGUCAACCAUGUCUUGAAGUUUACCAGGAUUGGCUUCAAAAGUAAUUUGUCGAGGCAUCGGCAAUGCUUCCUUCUGGAUCACCUCACCACUCCUGUUGAUACUGAUAGAUUUCAAGCAUAGCUGCUUGUAGUCCUCCAUGGCUUUUGCCAUAGCUUGCUUCUGCUCAUCUCUGAGAUUGGCUUCCGUCACGGGGAUGACAUUCUCCAAGUCGAAAUUGGUGUUCGACAUGUUGAUCUUGAUCUUUGAAUCUCUGUCCCACCGGGCGUGCCAAAAUAUGUGUUGAUGCAAAAGCUGAUCUGCAAACAUAAAGGGCUAAUACCCGAUUCAAACGUUAAGGCGUGCCAGCCGAUUUGACCUUACAAUCGACAAAGGUGGUAACUCGAACACUUUGGUCCCAACAACAGCGAUGCGCCCGGAUGUCACGGCCAAGAGGUGCUCACGCAGAACUUGAGCACACGCCGAGUUUGACUCGACGAAUUCCUAAGAACUCGUAAUAAAAGAAAAUAUGACAAAGUCGCCGAAAAAGUAGAUGCUAGAAUAUAUGUAAAAACUUGUGUUUGAUUGAUUGAUAGAUGUCUCAUUACAUUGCCACGAGGUCUAUAUUUAUACCCUGCCUUAAAGAAUUACAACCAGACAUGACUAGAAUUCGAAUUCCAAAUUAAACGGAAUCCGUAUACAAAAUGAACUCUAACAACUAUAGAAAGCAUUAAACUAUCCUCCACAACUGAUUGGUGCACUGCCACAAGUCAAUCGGCAACUUCCGCGCUUUUCUUCAGAGUCGUCGGCAGACUGCCUGUUACAGCUAUCGGCAAACACCAGCACUGGUCAUCGGCACGAACACAUCACCACUUCUGGACUUGGUCAUAUUCGGUUGUUUCCAAAUCGGCACCAACCUUCAUUGGCAACUCCCCUGUAGACUAGUCACCAUUGCCCCAUCUGCCGAUCUACACUUCAUUAACUCUAGGUGCAUAUCUAAAGAUACGUGUCCAAAAGCAGUGCCAACAGAAGGGCAACACUUGGAAGAAGAAAAAGGUCAAGGCUAAGGAUGAGAUCUAUAAGCUGAACCCACCUGCACCAAAGGCUGGCCCAGAUGCUGAUGCUCAGUGCUUUCACUGUAAGGCGAAAGGUCACUGGAAGAGAAACUGCAAGUUGUACUUGGCGUCCUUGAAGAAGGAUGGUAGUGGUAAAGGUACUUCCGCUGCUCAUACACUUAUUAUUUAUGUUACAGAUAUUUUACUCGCUAACUCUUAUAUUAAUUCUUGGGUAUUUGAUACCGGAUCGGUUGCUCAUAUUUGCAAUACGAUGCAGGGAAUGAUAAGAUGUAGAAGCGUUGAAAAGAGAGAAGUUGAUUUCCGCGUGGGCAAUAAUGCAAGAGUUGCUGCGUUGAACAUCGGGAUGAUGCAACUUCAUCUACCAUCGGGAUUUAUUUUGGAAUUGAAUAACUGUUAUUUUGUUCCUAGUUUAAGUCGAAACAUUGUGUCUCCUUCAUGUCUGAUGAAGGAUGGUUAUUCAUUUGCGAGCAAAGACAAUGGUUGUGUGAUCUCUAAGAAUGAAAUAUUUGUGGCUUAUGCAUCCAUUGUGAAUGGGUUAUUUAUUUUAAAUCUUGAUGAUGCACUUAUCUAUAAUGUUAGUGCUAAAAGGCCUCGGCUUAAUGAGUUAAGUCCUACUUAUUUGUGGCAUUGUCGUUUGGGUCAUAUAAGUGAGAAUCGCAUGAAGAGGCUCCAUGAUGAUGGACUUUUAACUUCGUUUGAUUCUGAAUCAUACGAGACAUGUGAGUCUUGCUUACUGGGAAAGAUGAUGAAGGCACCUUUCACAGGUUUUCUUGAGAGGGCGUCUGACUUAUUGGAACUAGCACACUCUUUAUGCUCUGAGCAUUCGCAAAGGCUUUUUCUCCUUCAAGUGAUAGCAUUUUUCCCAGUCAUAACUCUUGAUUCACUCAAAUCCAUCGACAAUGGGACCAGCUCAAAUCCAACUUCCUAAAGAUGCCCUUUAGAUUCUUACGUUCUACACAGAUAUCACUCCUUAGACCCAAGAAGGCAGUAUCUCCAUGCUCCACUAUGGAUACCUCCACAUCACACAACAGUUAAUCCAACCCACUUAGUUGACUUAUGCACAAGCCACUACUUUUCUUGUAUGGAGCACAUCUAAGGUCUUGAUGGAAUAGAAGAACCCUAUAUGUUGAUCUUUAUAACACCUUCAGUGAACCACUGAUAGAAUCUUAUCAUUCCAAGUCAAUCUCUUAUUCACUCUUAUGUCAAGAUCACAUUGGCCCCAUCAAACCUAUCAUAGCCCCUUGCCAUAUCUAUAAAACUCUAAGUCUCAUUCACUUUCCUUUGGUGGUUUCCAACUCUUGCAUCUUUAACUUUCUUAAGUCCAUAAUUAAAGAUGACAUCUCCUAGAUGAGAACUUCAUCGACUAGAACAUACUGGUCAUGCUCCAUUUAGUAAUGAAGUCUUUUGAGUCUUCGUAGAAUCAACAGUAGAUGUAGCUUAUCCACUUCCUAAGUUGUCAAGUGACCAAUUUCACUAACUUGAGCCAGGAUAGAUGAUUAUAAUCAUGGGAUAUCUCCAGAGACACUUCUUACUUCAUGGUGAAUUGAAAGGGCAUUAAUCUAUCAUAUCAAGGUACUACCCCCCCUUAAGAUGAGAUAGGUCGGGGGACAGUUUGGACUAGCUCUCACAUUCUGUCUUAGAUGCUACACAUCAUAUAGUCUUUUAAAUUCAUUGUACCAAGUCUCAUGAUCCGGAGUUGGUUUCAUCACUAAGUUUCAACUAUUGUACCUUUAUCACCGCUGAGUUGCUUCACUCUAGCCUUUGGUGCCACCUGAUUCUCUUAAGCACCACUUCCAAUCUAUGAGUACCAGCAAUGACCUAUAUCUCUAUUCAUAUUAGCACACUUCAAUGGAACUACUUCUUGCAUCAAACCCAAAUUUACCAAACACUUGAGGUCCUCAUCGAUGAUCCAAUAUUAACCAAUACUUCUCCUUGUAACUCCUUUGAUAAGACUACCCCCCUUAGAAAAGGUAAACUAGGGGUUUAAAUGGGUAGUUUAGUCCACCUCUCAAGUGUGUUUCUUAUCACAAGUUCUUCUAAUACCGAAGAGAAGCUCAUGUGCACUGAUGUGUACAAGAAAUCUGAAUUUCCUCACAACACGAGAAACACCAGCGCAGUAAAAUAGGCAUAACUCCUUUUCUGUUAAUCCAAUAGGGUCAUAGAUUACCACUAGAAACCUUAUCAAAUUCCCUACAACUUUCAUAUAGAAGGCAUCCUUAGUUUCUGUCAUUAAACCUAGGUAAAACAGCCCAACAUGAUAUCCAUCCCGACAAUGUCUCAGCAUCCAUACAACAAUUUGCAGAAGUCAUAUCUCGAGCUACUUAGAUCAUAUGGGGACGAGUCUUACAUGGUUGAAAAUCUUAUGAAGUCCUCCACAACUUCUGUAUAUCCCACUUUUCCAGAUUCUGAUGUUAAGUUGGCUGAAAAGUAGGAAUUAACUAGAACUGUCCAGAUUUUGAACUGUGCAUCAACAGCAACUUGUAGAUGUCAUAACUCAAGUUCUGUUUAUCCGAUAAAGUUGCAGCUUGCAUCGUUGGAAAGCUUAUCAAAAGUCCUAAAACUUUAUUAUAGAACCUUUUCCCAAAUUCCGGAGUUACAUUAGUCUAAAACAGUAGGCAACUGAAACUGGUCCUGAUUCCUGACAGCUCAAUUGUACCAUCUUGUGAUUUUCAUAAUUCCCAAACCACAACAGCUAUGGGGGUGAUUCUUGUGGUCAGGGAAUGACCUUGAAGUCUACUAUCACCCAGAAUUUUUGCAUCAUUUUAUGGUCCUCCGAGAAUAGGGAUUUUAACUGAAGAAGAUAAGUUGCUCCCAAAAGACAGGGUAGAGAAAACAAUAGAAAAUAAAACCCAACUAUUUAUUCACAAGUCCUUAUAUCUUAGACCUAUAAACUAAAUGAAAUUGUGUAGAAACCCACAAGAUCAUUGCACUCAUUACAAAAAAUCCAGCUCAAACAUAAGCACUAAGACAAACCAACCAAACAUUAAAGAUUCACAAAGCACACAUAUUGACUAGACUCAACUUUUGCUACUAACGUUUAUUACAAAGGGGGACUUCCUACUUCUCAAACACGGUGUGACUGCAGCGGCAUCCAGGGUAGCAUCUCUUGCGUGGAGUUAAGCGAGGUAUGUCCUCCACCUUAUUGAUCUUAGGUAAUCCACCACGACUUCUCCACUCAUCAAUCUCAGCAAGGGCUUCCUCAUAGUGUUGCCUUACUUCUGCCAAUUCUAGUUGACUGUCUUCUAGCUUUUGAUGCAUGACUUGGAUAGUCAAAGCCAUCUCCUUUAGUUGUUCAUUAUGCUCCAUGUAGGGGUCAGCCAUCACACAUUGCAAAGUGCCUGGUGGAUGACGAGGAAGAUACUUUUGUUUGUCAUUCUUCCUCUCUUCGUAGUGCUUUCCAUGAUAUGCCAGAAGAGCUUGAUGGGCAGCAUCAGAUAUGCUAGCAUGCUUACUGAAACGGUCACUGAGAGACGAAUGAAUGGAUUCCACCACGCGUGAACCAGUAAACUCAUUCCACCUUGUGAUGUGUGCUUCUGUGCUCCAGUGGCUCUCAUACUUAGGAUGAGUCCACUUAGUGCACUUAUAUUCCACCUUAGCUUGCUGUUCAAGAUAGUGGUCUUGUAGUAUACGCACAAGCCGAGGGUGAAAGAAAUCUUCGCCACUAAAGGAUGUGGUAAAGUACUCCUUCCGCCAACAAAUAUGUCUUGAGGGGACAGGCGAGCUUCUUCAUACUCUGGUUCCGUUAAGCCAUAGAUACCCCGAGUCAAGCAUGGUCUUCCAGAGUGGCUGCGAGCAAUCUUUUCAUUACGAACCAUCUAUGGAAUUAGACCAAGAGGGAGUUAGAAUAGAAGCAAUACUUUUAGAAUAGAAUUAGAUGAUAGAAGCAUAAGAAUUUUAGCAAAUAGCAAGGGUGAGAUAGUAAGCAUGAAUGUAGUGAAGCAAAGAUGACUAAAACGACCAUUACUAUCUAGGCUUGCGUCCUACAGUCAGCAUUGCUCUGAUACCACUUUGUAGCACCCGGUUUUAAGAACAAAACCAGAUACACACCAUAUGUGAGCCCAGGGAGUCAAAUCUCACUUAUAGCAACAAAUAAGGGUAAUAUCAAUAGUCAAUGCUUAUUAUAUAACGAACUUAGUAUAAAAGAUAUAACCUUAUUUAGCAAACAGGGGAAAGACUCUCCGUUCUUCAGGCGAAAGCUCCAAAUCCACAGGGACAACUGACUGGUUGAGCACAAGCCUAAACUCUUCUCCACACUAGCAAUCUGGUACCCAUUUGGGAUUUUUAUCCAAAUAAAAUGUAAAGGCAAGCGUAAGUACAUCUCGUACUCAGCAAGAAUAACAUGGGGUUCAUGAGGCUCAAAGGCUAGACACUGUUUUAACUGCAUGUAGCUUUUAGUUGUCAUAAUUUUAGCAUAUGAGUAGCAUCAAGUUGUCAGGACCCAAAAUAAACUCAUGAUCAAGUAAAGUGAAUAAAGAAUAGCAUAAACAACAUAUUAACAACAAUAACAUUAAAGAUUUGCCAUUAGUGAUCAUUUGUUCUGUAUUGGUCCAAGGCCGCUCGUGACCGUGAGCACGGUUGAUAUAUCAGUUUUACACUCUGCAGAGGCUUUACACUUUCACUGUGAGUCAUGAUUUACCCUUUCGCCCGAGGUAGCUAAUCUCUUAACCCCCUUCCUAGGGAGGCCGACAGGGUUCACUAUGAAGCCUUUCAAUGGUUCGUCUAACAAGUUAGGGCCGCUUGGUUUUAUUAGUCAGUCCAUGUGAUUCACCCGAAGGAAUCCACGGUCUGCUAUUCCCCAUUUGCGCCAUAAGGGUAACCACUAACAAGCUAGAAAAGGUCCUCAUACUGAGCCAAAGCCAGAGCCAUGUAGACCUCACAGUUGUACUGUAUGUCCCGGAUGGUCAUAUACAGAUAUGUCCUUAUGGAGAGAAACUAGAGAACCAUAAGAUAGCCCAAUGCUCCUGCCCUCUUUUCCAAAGUUGCUAAAAAGUCCUCUUUUAAUGUUUAUUACAUAUUCCAUUACUCAAAUUACAAGAUCAUGGUUUAGUGGAGCACUAGCAUGAGCUACCCAAUGCAAAACCAUUGGUGACAAGGUAUAAGAUCAAUACUAGAAAAUCCUUAACAAGGAGACACAUGCAAUAUGAGUUGUGUGUUUAAAGUUAUUAGGAAACAAGGAUGAUCCCAUGCUAUACUUGCCUUAAAACUCAGAUCCUUAUUUUAGUUCCAAACCUUCCACAAACUACUUCUUGAUCACCACGUAAAAGCUCACCGUCUAAACUCAGUCAUCACAUCAACAACAAUCAUCGAGAGGCAAUCAUACAAAGCAAACAAACCUAUAAUUAGAACAAUACACCAACAGUAGAAAAUAAAGAUGAAAAGUUUAUAAAAUGAAUCUACGUUGCACUACGAUCACACAGACAUAAAGAUCACGAAAAUUAGGGAUAAAACGAAAAAGAUAUGAAUUUUCUAAGAUUUCCUUUAAUAAAAUAAUUAAUUAAAUAGGAUCACGAAAAUAAAAAGUUGUAAACUUUUAAAAUAGUGAGACUAACAUGUAGAUCUUGUGAUUACGAAUCUAACGCAAUUUGAAUGGAUCAAAUCGGAGUUAAAAUGAAAAUUUUAUGAGCUAAACAAAUAUGGUGGCAAUUUUGUAAUUACUCAAAACGUAUUUUGAUUUACAAACCAAGGUAAACUAAUUGGAGCAGAGCACACGCCUGGCGGCCAGCCAUUGGCAGCAGCGAGCUCCUAGCCGGCGAGCAUGAAACUUAAGCCUACGGCCACGAUUUGAUGCGGGAAAACAAACUCACCAAUAGAGAUUUCGCAGAUAGGUACGAAGCGGAGAUGGAAAGCAGGGCGACGGGCGGAUCGACACCGGACUGAGGGCGAUCACGUUGUAGAGAAGAAAAGAUAAUUUUAUUUUACUACCUUAGGAAUUCUCAAAUUAGAGGCUUCCCUCAUGGUAGUCUUUGGUGUGCUUUGUCUAAGGGGUUGGUACACAUACAUAGGAAGAAAAACUCCCCACCUCCACGUCAACUAGCGAUAUGGUACUAAUUGAUUUGCACCCUUUAUCUUUACUAAUAGGCCUAAUUAAUAAUUAAAGCCCAUUAAUAAAUAAAGACAUGGGCCUUGAGCGUUGAGGAAAAUGAGAGAUUUAUUAUUUUCGGAAUUAAUUAAUUUCAUGGAUAAAAUAAUUCAGGAAAAAUCUAGAAUUAUUAUUUAAGCCACGAAAAAUACUCCGAAAGCUCCAAAAAUUCGAGGAAAAUUCUCAGAGACAUUAUGGAAUAUGAGGAACCCAAAUAAAGUAUUUGGAGCUCAUGAUGAGAUAAAUUGGAGCAUCUAAAAAUUAGAUUAUGCUCACAGAAGAGUGAGAACAAAUUUUAGAAAAAGCUUGAAAAAUUCCCAAUAAGAUUGUAGAUAUUGUUUGAUGAACGAGGAAGUGAGAUGUGUGAGUUGGAUGACAAAGAAAAGAUUUUAGGAAGCUCCUAAUAAAAACUUGAGCUGAGGAAUAAGGAAUUUGGUUGUAGAUAAAGAUAAAGAUGUACCGAUCAAGGAAGAUCGUUCUACUUAACGCAAUUUUAAAAGCUUUGCUUACUCUCAACACACAAAGGAGCAACAAUCAAACAUUACAUCAAAUUUUAUGCAACAGCAUGUAUGCACAACAAUGUUGCUAAGCCUUAAUGUAAAUUUUAAUUUAAUAAAAAUAUUAUUUUCCCUAUGUUUCAUGAGCACAAAGAAAUGUAUAAUUACUUAUUUGUCCUCUAUUUCCAAAAAAGCAAAAUUUAGGGUGUUACAGAGAGCGAAAGCUUUAGAGCACCCUAAAAAGUAGGGUCAAUUUAUCUUAGCAUCCAAUAGGGCGUGUGUGAGUUAGAUUAAAGUUUGUUUAAUUUUAAGUUUGCAUUUGUAAUAAUAAGCCCUACAUGACGAUGAAAUGAAAUAAUUAUUAUUAGAUAUGUCUUGUCUCUUUUGUCUCUACCAUGUUGUGAAUGAAGGAUAAUGAGGACCAGGCCUAAUUGUUGGCAUUUCUUAGUGUCACUACUAAAGAUAGACUAUAAAUCCAUCAUUAGCAAUGGCACCAGGAAUGUCGGGUGUUGGUAUACCAUAACUAUCGUUACGUCAGAGAGAUAACCCAAGGCCUUUAACGGCGCUGGCCUUAGCAGCGCAGUUUGGUAACAAUAAUUAGGAAUGCCGGAUUGGCCAUCCUAACCAUCCUUACGAUAUGCAAAGAUGUAGCACGGCGCUAGAUAAAUGCACAGAGUUUAAAAUCUUAAGUAACGGUACUUAGGUACGCCAAUCAAUAGUUCAUGAAUAUAAAGAAUAAAACUGCAAGCGAACAGAACUAUCAUUGUAGCAUUUCAACCCAUGAGUAUUCAGGGGUUAUCGUAUUUAAUCCCAUAGGAGGGCGUAACAAAUGCAUCUAGCUUGGUUUGUAGCAUGAUCACUUAUUGAGAUGCAUAGGUAGACAUAGUCUAAUCAGGGGUCAUGGCAGGCUCUUAAAAUAUGGAUAGUGGACACACUCAUCGGGGCAACCUCAAGGAAUAAAGAGAAAAUAAGGAAAUAAAAGAAAUAAAGAACAACUACUUGAGCGGCAUUGAUCAUAUAUAACUAUGCAAAGAAUUAUUAGUAGAACAUCUAAUCAAUAUAACUAGAGUUAGAACUAAGUCUGAGGCUCUAGGGAGAUCCCCGCAGCUGGACAUCCAGCCAAUAGAGACUUUACAGAACUCCUACCGGAAUACCUAAUCGUGGGGGAAUACCAGGGAUGAUAGGGCUAUCACUACCCUGCCACCUACCCCUCUACCCGAAGGAUACCCACGCAUCCGCUGAUCUCCGCAUACCCGAGCACCUCGCCCGUCUAAUUGGAAAUGCCUCCUAGCCUCCUGGGACCCCAACCCUUCGGAUUGACGGGCUCGGCUAAGAGUGGCCAUCACGGACCAAUGAACCAUUACCCUAAUCUUAAUCCUUUGUCUAUUCAUACUAAUACGAUGAACGAUGAAGAACAAGGAUGAACACAUCAAGAACAUAGCACAAGAACUAAGAACUAGUUCAUAUACUAUGAACAAGAUAUGAACACAACUAUACUCUAAUUCAAUUGCAUAAUCAUAUAAAUAAGAUAAGAACUUGCUCCUGAAUUGUAUUCAUACCAAAAUGCUCUAAGAUCCUCCAAGGAGACAAGCUCUCCUUGCUAGCUUUGCCUUACUCUAAUACUGAAUCUAAACUAAAGAACAAGUGUAGAAAUGUGAGGUGUAUUGCUCCAAAUGAUGGUGUGUGUGUGUUGAACGGUGUGGAGCCAUCUAUUUAUAGCCCAACAAGGAUGGUUCAUGGCGAUCUAAAUUUGGUAGGAGGUGAAACCGUCCUAUGCAUGCCACCAUGCAACCGCCUGAAAAAGGUGGGACCGAGUUGCCGCCACGGGGGGUGCGCCCGCACCAGGGUGCGGCCGCACCACUGGUGGGCCCACCUGUCCACCGCCUUCGCGUGGUCGGUUCGUCUCUGGGCCAUGAUCCUUCCUGUGGUUACGGAUGGAUCCAGUUUGGUGUUUUGGUGGGCUUUUCCAUUUAUCUUUGAUUUGCGCCUUUUCUGAAUACGCUUUCUUGAAGUGCGCUUUCUCGUGUCUUUUGUGCCUUUCCACGUGUCAUACCUGAAAUUGAUAUUUGCAACAAAACUUGUGGAAAGGUUAGUUCAAAGCCCUACCAUCUAUUUAUUUUAUUUAUUAAAAUGAUGUUUAUAAUUAUAAGAUAAAGGGGUACCAACAACUCCUCGACACUUGGUCCUUUGCUCGUCCUCGAGUGAAGGCACUAAAGACCAAAUGGGUUCAUCUUCCUUGUCAAAAGAAUCUGUAUACAGGUUAUUCCCAGCUUCACCUGGAUUUAUGAACUUCAAAGUGUCUACCAAGCUAUCUUGGGUAAUUGAAACAUGGAACAGCCUGGAUUCAAAUCCUCUUACAUAGUCCCUGCGCAGAAACUUGGGGUUUGCAAGAUUUUGAAAAAUAAAGAUAGCAUAUGUUUCUUGAAUGAUGCUCUCAAGUCCCUCCUAAUAUGUGAGUGGUUCCUUACCAAGGCAUAAAGAGUUUAUGCCUUCUUUUUGAUCAUCCUACUUCUAAAAGGCUUAUCUGGAGUUUUGGGUAGGUAUGAUGGUGGAACUUACUUACCCUGCAUAUGUUGUCGAGUCAAACCCAGGAACAUACCAGAGGGAGUGCGCCGUACCCUUAGAUAAGAAUGUGCAAGUGUGUGGAAUUUUUGGUGGAAUCCGAGCACUACUUUUAUUGCAACAUUCCUUGCAUCAACACUCUCUUUUGAAAUGAGAUGAAAAACUUGAGAGGAUAUGGGCUAUAACACAGUUUUUUAUAUUUUUUAUUUUUUUGGACGGGUAUGAAUCUUUCCCAGUUUUGCCCCUUUGGCUUUUUCUCAUAAUAAUUAUAUAUAUAGCCCAUUCCUAUGAUUCUGAUGAAAAUGAAAGAGAGCUUUAUGAUAACAAAUGCAAGGAAUGUAUAUGAAUGCACAAUUCUCAGGGUGAGAUAUUAGCAUUUUUAUUUGGUAGAUAUAUGUGCGCAACCCUCAGUGUAAGAGUUGGUGAAAUUUUGGGUGGAUGGAGAAAGCAUGUUGUGCGCGACUUUGUUGAUAUUUGGUAACACCAUCAGGAAAUGAUCCGCAAGCGCACGGAUAUCGGUGAGCAUUUCACCCGGGAGGUUAUCCGAAGUAUCGUAUUUAUAUUUUUACCACUGGGAGAAAGCGUGCAUCUGACUAACCAAAUCUAUUGCUACUACCCUUUAGGCUACAAAGAAUGUGACUCGAUGUGAGCGAUGUAUAGAGAAGACUACAAACGUAGUCUCGUUCUAACCUUGGUAAGGAUGAUCUACUGUUCUAUUGGGGAGGCUCACAGAAUCUAGACACCACAGAGGAUGUUCGACCCGCACCUAUAAACCCUACCCAUCCUGCUAACAAGAUGUGGGAUGCAAAGGUAACUCGGAAAUGUCACGUUCCUCGCUACUACCACGGUCCAGCUAGUCAGGGGAUAUCUAUGAGUACCCUAGCCCAAACACCACAUUUACGCUAGCAAUGAUUACUCUAAACUCAACCGGAAGAGAUUAAAGUAAACUCAUAAACCAAAGAACAAUAAAACAAGAAGUUACUAGAAUUUAGAAGUCGAAUUACUGAAGAAUCCUAGGAGCAAGCCUCGGGUUAGGAGAACUUGAUCCCGCAGGUACAACCUCGGAGUAGACACCGACAGGCCGGGCUUCCUCCGAUCUACACCUCCACUCUAUCUCUCUCAAUCUAGUAGAUCUAGUCUACUCUCACAUUGGAUGCUAAGCCCUAAGUCUAUAUAGAGGAAAGGUUAUCCUUUGAGGGCACCUCUCAACUCUCACAUUGGAUGCAUCUUUUUAUUAUUUGAGUAAAGUAUAAACGCGAGUAGAAACACUUAGCUGGAUAAAUGGGGGUGCUCUCCCCCAAGUUGGAUUUUGACGUAAUUUCUUCUGAUGUAGCUAGCAGGUGGCGGAGGUGUAUUUGAAUGUCGGCAGCACCCUGACAGCGAUUAGGAUGUCCUCCGUCUGCUAGUCUUCUUUGAUCCUCGAAUUCUGUGGAGCUCAAAUAGACAACAAAGCUUUGUGGAACUAGUUAAGUGUUAGCAUAAAUAUCUAGCCUUUAUCAUGUUGAGCCUCCUCAAUAAAUGUUACUCUCUUUAGUAGGAUCAUAAAUUUAUUUUUAUAUUUUUAUUUUUAUAGGACAAGAAUAUACUUAUUUUAUUUUUAUGCCACCACAGUGAAUGUACUUAUCGGUUUUAUGCUAUGAGCAUACUCACAUGGGGCUUACUAUUUUUUAACAUUUUUAUUUUCCUUUCGAGAUGAUAUGAACCUGAUUAACUAAGCAAACUAUUUUAAAUAAUUGAAGGAAAAAGGAUAACUACCAAGUUUAUCUCAUGGCAAGGCGCUCGGUGUUUUUAAGUCCUUCGAACGGGACUCUCCGUUUUCUCAGUCGUCCUAGAAUUCGCUAGAUGGCGUAGUCGGUGGUUCCGGCGUUGCCUUCUCUUCGUGCAUAACUAUCUUCUCUCUCCUCACCUGACUCAGUGCUACGGUCUCCUCUGGACAAUCCUGUUCGAAAUGUAUAUCUUUGGACCUUAUUACAUCUCCUUUGUAGUCUGCCCAUCUGUCCUUGAUGAUUUGCCUCCUCUGGUUUUGGUUGUGUCGCCUUCUUCUCAUCCUGAUCUGCUUAGAAUCUUCAACUAUAUAGUUAGGGUCACUAAAAUAGCGGCGUACCUUCUCAGAGGGAAAGUGCAUGUGGACUUCUCCAGUUCCAAUGUAGAUGAUUGCUUUAACGGUGCUGAGGAACGGUCUCUCAAGGAUGAUGGGUGGAUCAUACUCGUCUUCUCCCAUGUCAAUAACCUGGGUCGUUCUUUUUGGUCACAAACAGUGACUUAAGUCGAUGAUCUUGACCUCCUUGAACUGCAGUGACCAUCUUAGCUGACUCGGUCCACAUUUGCUUAUUCCUGUUCCUCCUGUUGGUCCUCUCCCUUGGUUCAUGUCGGGAUUGCUCUGAGAUUUGUGUAGUCUUGCUCUUGAAGGAAAGUCUCCUUCUUCCCCUUGAUGUAGAAACUGAUCUUGGCAGCACUAGCGUAGAUGACAGCUCUCGAGGUGUUCAGGAAUAGCCUCCUUGGACGCAGAGGAUCUUCAAUAUUCCCUUUGGGAAACUUAGUGUCCGAUCUGCAACCCUAGGCAUAAUGUUGACGCUAGAGCCAAAGUCGCAGAGUGCUUCUAGGAAGUCCACCAUGCCGAUGGAGAUCGGGAUGACGGGGCGUCCUGGAUCGCCUCUCUGAGUAGUUAGGCCUCUGUUGAUUCCAACCUUGAUUUUGUUGAGGACGGUUGUAGUAGUAGUAGUAGUACUUGUUGUUG